rnacentral:lncRNA from 1 species
GGAACAGGCGGGUUUGCCCUUGGCCCAACAGCAUAAAUCCCUUCGGGGGUUGUGGAGACCGGAUCAUCUCCGACAACUUCCUCCCCUGCGGCUGAUCUAGCUUUUGUGUCUUCUCUCUUGUUUUUUCCGAUGAUUUUCCUUCGAACUAUGUUUAUGUGUCAGUUAAUAUUUCUAUUUGUUUGUUGGUUCCUUGAGUUUUACUGAAUGUAUCGAGAAGCGAAGUUGAUUAAUUGUAUGGUUAAUUACUUCUCUCAUUGUAAUCUUCAUAGAUUGCACCUUUCGAAUUAUCAUCCACACAAUAUUUUCAAGUUCUUAUUGGAAUAAUAUAAAGGUUGAUUAUUGUAAAAAAAAAAGAGUGAAGUCUCAAACAUUCAAAAUUCAAAUUAUUGUCUACAUAAGUAUCGAUCCACAAUGAAUUAGCAAUGCUGAAAUGAAACAUCAGACGAAAGAAGAAAACCAAAUCAUCUUCUAUUUAUUUUGUUCUAUUUGUAAUGAGAGUGGAUAUUAUUUAGUAUUUACCCAUAGUACAUGCGGCAACAAACAAUCUUUCCUAUCUUCCACCUGGUCGUUACCAUAGUUUCGUGGGAUUAAUCGACACCUUAAUUUAUUCAUUCGUUACAGCCAAAGUACCAUUCAAACAGAGGAUAAUUAUGUGAACUCUUGCAAACUCUUGCAAAAACUGAAAUAGAUUCCUCGAUUCUUUAUGCAGCAGAUUAAAACUGGGUAAAAGUUAAAACUUGCAAUUCUUGCAGAAACUGAAGAAAACAUGGUUGUACGUAUAUGAAACUAUUUGUUGUCACCUGUCAAUCUAUGGUCUAGAGAUAGUGAUGUUGUCAAUGAUCAAUCCCUGCUACGCAUGAAUGGUAAAAUAUUUGGGAUACGCGUUUUUGUGCAUCAGGGCAGUUAGCUGUCAGAAACUGGGUGAGCAAUUGAAAGGAAAGGAAACUUCGUCUCUGCAUUGAAUGAACAGAGAUGGAUCACUUCAUGUUAAAAAGAUAAAACCAAGUAACAAAAUAUAUAUAUAUUACUGAAGUUGAGCAGUACCAUUGGCCUGCAGCGGGUACUGUUCGUAAUAUGACAAAAAUGGUUUUUUUCGUAAACUUAGAGCGACAAUAAAAAUUCAGGAUAGGAAUGCAGAACAAAAUUUCCUGGGACGAUGUUGACUUGAAUUUUGGGCCUAAAUAAGUGGUGAAUUUUUCACAAGUAGUCUUGGUAGGAUGUUAUUAAGGGCCCAAAAGUGGGACUCCAUCAUUGUUAGUCCCUAUCAAUGACAAGCUUCAGGAUUAAUUGUCAAAGACAUCAUUCAUGUCUUGUCCAGUGUUGGGAUUCAAGUUUAAAUGGUUUGCCGUUCAACAAAUGAAGCUAUUAAUUUGUAGGGAACACAAAUUAAUUCUCCCUACGACGGAGCGGUUAUGCGACGUUUUUCAUCCUCCCCUUGCGUUCUCGCGUCAACCGUCGUCAACCGCCAUCAGCAACGGCCUCCGGCCAUCGGACAACCAUCAACCUUCAUCAACAGCAAUCUUCAAUCAUCGAAUUCACUACCGAUCUCCAUCGAUCCUCUGGGUAAAACCCCAUCCCUUUCCUCUUUUCCUAUCAUUGGUGCCGAGUUUCUCGAUUUCGAUUCCUUCGCAUUUCCCCUGAUUUGAUUACGACGCCAUGAUUGAUUGUUCUGGCAAAGGUCGAUCCUCUAAUCUCCUACUUCUACCUUAAAUUCGGCCGUGUAGCCUAAUUUUGCCUUUGUGGUAGAAUUCGAUCAUCCAUAGAAAGGCCUUCCACAUUCACUUUGUUGGGUUUGUUUUGGAUCCAAUUGGGGUCUCUUCGACCAUCGACAAUCUCGACUCAAGCACACGGAAUCCAUACUCAUCGGCACAACAUGUACCUUUGUUGCAUCUCAACUCGUUUCCGGCGGAAGAGGAUUCAACACGGUUCAACCCAACCAACCAACCCUUGAAGCUGAAUUAUAGGUGGAAAUGUUAGUAGAGGAAAAUGACCGAGUGGUUAAUUGACCCAUGACCAUGAUCUUAUUACAUCAACAACAACAGCAACAAGAGACCACUUUCAAAUUUAACUCAAGAUACACAAAUUUUGAACAGGGUACAUGGAAAGUUGUGACUGUACAUAACACUAGUUAUCAAACUGAAUUGGCCGACAAUAAUUGUUCCUUCUCUCACCUCAAACUGUCAAAUAGAUUACAAACCAUCCACCUUGGAAGCUGACUCCUUCCCCACAAUCCCCUCAAUGGAAUCAAACUCUGUCCCCUUAGCUAUAUCUCAGAAACGACUGCCAAAUAGACACUUUUCAUUGAGAACAAUAAGAACACAAAAGCAAGACAACACAAUGUAACAACGUGCUGAACUGCUGCUACCUUGAUUUUAGCAUUACUUGUGGUUGUUUUAGUCGAACCGAUACUCGGAAACCCAAACCUUGCUGGUUUCUUCUCCAAUGGCCUCAGUAUCUGAAAUGAACACAACAAGUCCCCAUCCACACUCAUCAUUGCACCGGCAUUGUCAAACUCCCCACAGUAAUUUGGUGCUGAGAAUAUUGUCACUAGUUGCUUAUUAGCAAAGAACUCAUAUCCAUCCUCCAUAACCUGCAACCAACAAAAAUGCCACAUUAUUAUAACAAUCAUAUAUGUACGUAACUUCAGCAUCCAUAUAAUACGUAGUUAUCUACUCCUCCCAACCUGAUGUGCCCUGCAGAUUAGAUCAAGAUCAAGCUUGCGAAGAAACUCAGUGACUCGAUCAGCUCCAAACGUAUACGAAACACCUCUCUCGUUCGGCCCCCACCCUCGAAUGUCCUUGGAAGGAUCAGACCAUAGAAGAUCACACAACAAUCCACUGUCAGGGAUGGAAGUUGGCCGCGGUAGGUUCCUGAUUUGGUCCAAGCUAUGGAGAUCAGGAGACAACCCACCGUGCAUACAUAGAAUCUUUUCAUCAAUGAGAGCCGCCACGGGGAGGCAAUUAAAGCUGUCUGUGAAGAGCUUCCACAGCCUGACACUGUACCUGCGUUUACACUCGUCGUAGAAGCCGUAUAUCCUGUUGAGAGAGGCACAUUCAUGGUUGCCUCUCAGUAGGAAGAAGUUCUCAGGGUACUUGAUCUUGUAAGCCAAGAGAAGACAAAUGGUCUCAAGGCUUUGUUUCCCUCUGUCCACAUAGUCUCCCAAGAACAAGUAAUUCGCUCUUGGUGGGAACCCUACACUCUCAAAUAUCCUUAGCAGGUCACUGUACUGUCCAUGGAUGUCUCCUGUUUAAGUUUCAAGUUCAUUGUAGGCAGCAUCAGAGAAAAACCCUCAAGAAAAGUAGUGAACUUUUUACUCAUGGUUGGUAAAUUGAGCAAAUUUGCUGAGUCGAAAUACUGUUACAUAAGCAAAUCGGCAAAUACAACUUGUAAUUUCCAGCACAAUCAUAAUAAGUUAACUAUUGUGCAAUCACUCUCAUACGCGUAUAUAACAAGUUAUACACCAUUACCCUAAACAGAAUCAAACAACAGUAGAAAGAAAUCCAUGACUGAAAAAAAGGAAACAAAUUUCUGAAAAGAAUGAUACGUAACUCUGCAAUCAGGGAGAGCAAAAAUGAGAAUAGAGGUGAAGGAUGAUUAUUGAUUACCACAGAUGUUGAUAGGAGCUUCAAUCUCCAAGAGAUUAGGCUGGUUCAGUAAAACCUGGCGGGAGGAGACACAAAGCUGGACGAUUUCGCUCUCGGAGAGCUGAACCAGCUUUCCGGGCUUUCCCCUGACUUCAAGCAAUCGGCUGAUGAUACUGUCAAGAACCCAGCGUUCUAUCAUCUUCAAAGUUGCAGACUUUUGAUUAAUUUGUUGUCAGGCAGCCCUCAGAGAUGGACAAAGAUCAUAGAUGAAGAAGAAGAUGGGAGAGAUGGUUUCUUAAUAAUGGGGAGCAUGUAGUGUAUGUGUAUAACUUUGGGGAAAGAAGGGUUAUUGGGUUUUGUGUUGAGUGACUUUGAUGUGGAGGAAGGAAUGAGAUGACGAAUGGUUGUGGAGAAAAGGGCAAAUACACAAAAUUAAAGGCAAUUUGAGAGGAGGAUAUAUUCUAUUCUCUGAUUCUCUCCUCUUGGUGUUUGUUCCUUUUAGGGGUUUAUUUCAAGAAACGAGUUUACUUUAUCAAGUUGAAUAUUAUUGGCCUUUUUCUUGGUAAUGGUUGGUUUCAUUUCACGGUGGAGCCAAAAACAAAAUUCAAUAAAAAGCACAAGGUGAAAUAUGCUUUGAUUUUGGAAUAAAGAAGACGAAUUUAGAAUAACACGGAAACCAAUAGGUGAAGUGUACUUAGCACUCAUUUUGCACAUUUAAUAGUAUUAGUUCGAUUUCGAAUGCCCCAAUGGACAAACUGUCUAUAGGCCCCGGCUUCGUUCCACCGGGUUUAGGCCUGACAUGAUGGUAAUAGCCUGGCAUGAUGGUAGUAGCUACGUAGUUCAAAGUCCAUCAACUGGGGUCUAGGCCAGAUUUUUAAUAUUUUAUCGACUCAUAUUUUACUAUCAAUUUUAAUGUCAUAAAAAUAUGUCUGAUGAAAUGUCAUGACAAAAAUGAUUCCAAAAUACUAGCUAAAUGUGUCAUUGUCGUCAACCAACAGAAGGAAUUUCAACUAGAUGUGGAAUUGCAUGGGGACGAUCGUUCUGCAGAUAAACAGAACUUCAAACGGCCGGUACAACCGGGAUGACUGAGCUGGCAAGAGAGAAAAACAAAUACUAUUUCUAGAGUUUAAACCGAAAUAAAACUAAAAAAAGAAAAACAAACUGAAAGCAAACGAGUCUAACGAAUGAGAAAAAUAAAAAAAGAACUAAACGCCUAACAAAUUUGGAUGUGAUAUCCGUAUUGAGCCCGCUAAGAGAGGCUAGGGUUCUUAGCGGUCUUGAGUUCUUGGAUCAGUCGGUGUGUCCGAAACCGAGCUGCAACUCGGUCGAACCGGUUCCUAGUUGCUUCUUCCUCUGUUUUUACUAUUAUUUUAUUAUUGGUUAAUUUUCUUAAUUAAAAUUUUUACUUAAUUUACGAAUGAUGAUGUGGCUACAUUUGACAUGUUAGCUGAUACGUUAUUUUAGUGGUCUCAGUUUCAGUUAAUUUGGACGGAAAAUUUAGUGAAAUUUUGUUAAAAGGCAGGACCGAGAUUUAAAAUGAUUCAAACUAAAUUUGAAAAUCCGCUUUAAAUUUGGGAUAGAUUUGGGUAUUCGGCUAAUAAAAAGUUUGGCGAUUCGAUAGAUUUAAGCAUAUCCCUAUACGUUGAAUUUGAAUUAUUUUCUAUUAAAAUGCAAAACUGGUGUUUGCUUGGUUGAACAAGUAUCGUAUCAAAGGUUCGUAGACAUGGUGACACUUAUUGAAGCCUGGCACGUCGGUCGAAUAUUACCCGCCCAAAAUAGGUGAGACAACAUAUUUUUAAGUAGGAAUUAAAAUUUCUUUUUUAAAGAGAGGAAACAGAAAAUAAACCUUUUAAAACAUAAAUAGAAAAAUUUGCAUUCCUCGUAGUAUACGGAUUGAGAUUUUCACGGGUUUCCAUUGCCUCUUGAUCGGCAAUCGAGUGGCACAAAACACCUAAUCUCCCUUCCAUAAUCCUCCCUAUAUAAACAACCUUGGGAUUGCACUAAAUCCUCCACCCAACCCAAACACCAAAGCCAUAGAGAGAGGGAGAGAGCCAGGGGGGGAAAGCCAUGGCUCUACAAAUUGUAGUGAUGAUGUUUCUGCUGGCAGCUGAGAUCUCUGAGUUAGGGAUGAUAUCAGCUGAUCCAAUUCCAAGUGUUGACCCUUGCUCAACAUCACACUACGUAUACAAACCUUCUAAAGAGCUUCCCCAUGGCCGUUAUAGUUUCCCUCCUGGCUUUAUCUUUGGCACUGCCACUUCUUCUUUUCAGGUUAGUUAAUUACUUCUUCACUCUAUUUAAUCGAUAUGCAUCCAUAGCGAGCGAGGUGGUAGGUCUGCUGGAUUUCGGCUUGGAGAUCCCAGCUUCGGAGUCCGGAGAGUGCACUUCUCACAACCCUAUUAUAGCGAUGUCCUCUGAUUUGCUUAAAUAAAUGCUCGUGCUUAAGAUCGAUAAUCCUGAAACUUAUCUGACUGUUCGUCAUAAAAAACAAUGCAUAUAUCAUAUAUAAGUGCUAGCUAUGUAUUAUUUUUCCUAUUUCUUACUUAUUAUGGUGGUAAUGAAGAUUGAGGGAGCUUCAGAUUUUUCGUAUGGGAAAGGUCCGAGCAUUUGGGACAGAUUUACCCAUCAGUAUCCAGGUUUGUGCCAAUUUAGGACUUUAAUUUGAUCAAUUUUUGAACAAAAAACCGAUUCCACCCAAUUUUGUAGCUAAUACAUUAUGCUACAAUGUUGAUUCAUUUGUUGCAGAAAGGAUUUUAGAAGGUGGUAAUGGUGAUGUAGCAAUAGAUCAUUAUCACAAAUUCAAGGUAUAUGAAAAUAUACGUAAAAGUUUCUUGUCUCACCGCGAGAUAAUAUUGGGUGUCUCACUACAAUAAAUUAUAAUAAAAAAGUGAGACCAAAAACGUUUGGUGCGUUAUAAUUAUAAAGGGUAUCAUUGUUUUAUUAUAAUGAAGCACCCAAUUUUAUCUUUUUUUUCAUAAAUCAAUUAACCACUUUCUCUUAUAUAUUAAUAUAGGAAUGAUCAUAUGACUAAUUAGUUAUUUUUUAAUAAAAAAAACAGGAAGAUAUUAUGAAAAUGAAGUAUCUCAAUGUUGAUGCGUACAGAUUCUCUAUCUCAUGGCCACGAAUUAUACCAUGUAAGGAUGAUUGCUUUUCUUGUUUGUUCUUAUUUUGAGUAAAUAUUGCUACUCUUUGUUCAUCUAAAACAAAAUAAAUUAUUUUAUAAUAACAAAACUCCAUGUCCUAUAUUUUACUUGUGUAGUUAAGUACUUAUUCUCAAAAUUGUGUAUGCAGCUGGCAAGAGAAGUGACGGAGUUAAUCAAGAAGGAAUCAAAUUUUACCACGACCUCCUCGAUGAACUCAUUGAAAAUGGUAUAUAAUCUCGUUUUAUUAAAUUAGUAUCAAUGGUAUAUCUCCAUUUAUAAAAUCUCGUUAAUGCUAGUUAUAUUGUGUACGUAGGGAUCGAGCCUUUUGUCACAAUAUGGCAUUGGGAUACCCCUCAGGCUCUUGAAGCUGAGUAUGGUGGCUUUCUAAGCCGAGAUAUUAUGUAAGUUGCAUGUAUUUCUCCAAAUUAGUCGACUUCAGUUGAGUCUGUAUGGUUACUUAAUUCAUACAUCUUGAUCUUGUCUCGCUACGCAGAAAGGAUUUUGAGGAUUACUGUGACGUCUUGUUUCAAGAAUAUGGCUCAAAAGUAAAGAAAUGGAUAACUUUGAAUGAACCUAUGGGUAACGCAAUGAAAGCCUACGAUGAAGGGGUUUUCGCACCCGGACAUUGUUCUGUAUGGGUUGAUAGAGCAUGUAAACUUGGAGACUCUUCAACUGAACCUUAUAUUGUUUCCCAUCAUCAACUUCUUGCUCAUUCCGCUGCUUACCACUUAUACAAAAACAAAUAUCAGGUUUGUUGCAUUUUCCACUAGAUAUAUAGUUGCAGGCUAGUCAUGGUGCGAACCUAUACUUGUAUUUUUUUACUGUAUUAAUUUAUUCAUUUUUUUAUGGAAUAGAAUCUUACUGGAGAAAUAGGAAUAACCUAUGUCUCACAUUGGUUUCUUCCUUACUCUAAUACAACUGAAGAUAUUGAUGCUGCUCACAGAGCUCAGGAUUGGAUGUAUGGCUGGUGAGUAGCAUUUCUAUUAUCUCUCUAAAAACUAAUUUUUCAUUUAAACUAUUAGCUAAAAACUAAAUUGAUUAUUUCGGAUGUAGGUACAUGGAUCCAAUCACCUAUGGUUAUUACCCUAGAACAAUGGUGGAUUUAUUGGGAUCUCGUUUGCCCAAAUUUACACUAGAAGAAUCACGCUUGCUUAGAAAGUCAUACGACUUUUUAGGCAUCAAUUAUUACACUAGUUAUUUUGUGAAGAACAAUGAUAAAUUUGAUAAUGCUCAUCUUCGAUAUGCAACUGAUCACCACGGCAUUACUACACGUAUUAUAUUCAAUAUCUCAAUUAACUAGUUUCAUUAAUUUCAAAUAUGAGGCAAAGAAAUUGUCUAAUACGAAUUUUUUUUUAUUUUUUGUUUUCCCAUCAGCUGAUAGAGACGGAGUGUACAUUGGACCACAUGUAUGUGAUAACCUUGCUCAAAUAAUAUAUUAGUUACUUGUUAAUAAUAUGAAAUUAUAAUAUUGUAAUACAAACAAUUUAACUUUUGUUAACAUGCAGUUGGGUUCAUACUGGCAAUAUUUAUAUCCAGAUGGUUUACGAGCAUUGCUGAAGUACACUAAAGAAAAAUAUGAUAAUCCUGUCAUUUACAUAACUGAAAAUGGUACUUAAUUAUACUAAUCAAUCAUGUAAUGACGCAAAUAAAAUUCUUACUUAUUAAAGUUGAAUUAACUAUUUAACUAUGUAUGGUAUAAUUGAUGAUCAGGAUUAUCGGAGAAGGACAACGCUACACAGACACUUGAAGAGGCACUACAGGACAAGAUGAGGAUUGAUUUUUACAACAGCCAUCUUACAAGUGUUCUGCAAGCCAUCAAGUCAGUACAAAUAUAAUAAUAUUACGCAUGCUUUCCACGCACAGUUUAUUAUUCAUGUAACAAGAAACUCUGCAACCGAGCCUUACAUUGUUUCCCAUCAUCAACUUCUUGCUCAUUCCGCUGCUUACCACUUAUACAAAAACAAAUAUCAGGUUUGUUGCAUUUUCCACUAGAUAUAUAGUUGCAGGCUAGUCAUGGUGCGAACCUAUACUUGUAUUUUUUUACUGUAUUAAUUUAUUCAUUUUUUUAUGGAAUAGAAUCUUACUGGAGAAAUAGGAAUAACCUAUGUCUCACAUUGGUUUCUUCCUUACUCUAAUACAACUGAAGAUAUUGAUGCUGCUCACAGAGCUCAGGAUUGGAUGUAUGGCUGGUGAGUAGCAUUUCUAUUAUCUCUCUAAAAACUAAUUUUUCAUUUAAACUAUUAGCUAAAAACUAAAUUGAUUAUUUCGGAUGUAGGUACAUGGAUCCAAUCACCUAUGGUUAUUACCCUAGAACAAUGGUGGAUUUAUUGGGAUCUCGUUUGCCCAAAUUUACACUAGAAGAAUCACGCUUGCUUAGAAAGUCAUACGACUUUUUAGGCAUCAAUUAUUACACUAGUUAUUUUGUGAAGAACAAUGAUAAAUUUGAUAAUGCUCAUCUUCGAUAUGCAACUGAUCACCACGGCAUUACUACACGUAUUAUAUUCAAUAUCUCAAUUAACUAGUUUCAUUAAUUUCAAAUAUGAGGCAAAGAAAUUGUCUAAUACGAAUUUUUUUUUAUUUUUUGUUUUCCCAUCAGCUGAUAGAGACGGAGUGUACAUUGGACCACAUGUAUGUGAUAACCUUGCUCAAAUAAUAUAUUAGUUACUUGUUAAUAAUAUGAAAUUAUAAUAUUGUAAUACAAACAAUUUAACUUUUGUUAACAUGCAGUUGGGUUCAUACUGGCAAUAUUUAUAUCCAGAUGGUUUACGAGCAUUGCUGAAGUACACUAAAGAAAAAUAUGAUAAUCCUGUCAUUUACAUAACUGAAAAUGGUACUUAAUUAUACUAAUCAAUCAUGUAAUGACGCAAAUAAAAUUCUUACUUAUUAAAGUUGAAUUAACUAUUUAACUAUGUAUGGUAUAAUUGAUGAUCAGGAUUAUCGGAGAAGGACAACGCUACACAGACACUUGAAGAGGCACUACAGGACAAGAUGAGGAUUGAUUUUUACAACAGCCAUCUUACAAGUGUUCUGCAAGCCAUCAAGUCAGUACAAAUAUAAUAAUAUUACGCAUGCUUUCCACGCACAGUUUAUUAUUCAUGUAACAAGAAUUGUCGGAUUAUGCAUGCAGUGAAACACAGGUAAACGUAAAAGGGUUCUUUGCGUGGUCAUUCGCAGACAACUUCGAAUGGAACGAAGGGUACACAGUUAGGUUUGGGUUGUACUACGUUAACUACACCGAUCUCUCCAGACACCCAAAGGACUCAGCAUGCUGGUACACUAACUUCUGCAACAAGACCCAGCCGAAGACGAAGUACUUCUCUAACAAAUUUGAUCUUGAUCAGCUCAUCACCACACGUGCCGCUCCCGAAGGCCUCUCUCCUCUGCGGACCGUCUUUAAUAGUGUCAAUCAUCAAUCUUAAUUCUCAAGACCGAUGAUCUCUUACGUACAUAUUGUUACGUGCAUAUUGCAAGACAAAUGAGAGUACGUAACUAUUGUUACGAGAGAGACGAAAGGUGGCUUAUAUAUCAGUCUACAUUGAGCUGCGUUGUUUGCAAUUAGUAGUGGGAAUGAGAUCAUAUUGUAUUCUUGGGUUAUUCCCUUACGCGGUUUGCUUGCAUAGCUCAUUGUUGUUUGAUUUCUGGGUUGUAGGCUGAUAAGUAAUUAAGAACGAUGAUAUUUCCGCUACUGAACCGGUUGACGAUCUUGUGUUUUUCUUAUUUUAACUAAUGAUGCUUUGAGAUACUGCAGGUCCAUGUCAUCUUUCUAUGACCAUUUCGGUUCGUUUAGUGCUCGUCCCGAGUUUAGAUAAACCAGAAAGGUUCCAUCUUUGUGUAAUAGAACCUGCAAUAUAUUUCAUUCGAUGGGCAAGAAAGGAAAUAAUCAACUUUCUAGAUGGAUUCAAUUGACUCGUUUCGAAAGGAAUAGCACUGAGUAAACCAUUAUGGUUAUAUGGUUUAACCCAAUGAUCAUAUAAUUUUUUUUACAGCUAAAGGAUAAUACGAUUAACAAUAAAAAAGAUCUGGAAGUGGAGUUCCGUUGUUGACAUCGUUGGAACUCCACUUCCCAUGAAGGCAGUUACUAUUAAUAAUUUAAAAAUAAAAUAAAAAUUAAUUUUAUAUAGAGACUUAUGUUAUUUUUUAAUUUUACCAUUAGUCUUAUACUUUAAUUGAUUGAUCCCAGCCAUAUUAGACAUUCAUGAGACCUGGACCGAUGCACUCAUUCACAGUCAUUUAAAAAAAGUGUUCUCAAUUUCUAGUCAUCAUUACAGGGUUAAUUUCAUCAAUGAUACCAUAGGCGAGGACGAACAUUAGGGGGUUGAUUACAUUUUUGGUACCUUACUUAUUAAUAAGGUGUAUUUUGAUACUUUAUCUUUUGUUUAUAAUCAAAUGAUACUUUAUCUAUUAAAUUGUAACUAUGUGGUAUCUUCAUCCAUUAUUUCUUUAUCAAAAAACAUUCCAUCCAUUUUUUUCGUUAACUGUUGACGUGGAAGCCCAAUCACUUACCCGGUCAGCAAAUAUAAUAAAAAUUUGUAAUUUAUAUAGUAAUUACAUUUUUAACAAAAUAUAUGAUUUAAUGAAUUAUUUAGUUAAUAAAGGAGGCAGAGGCGAAGCUCGUGUUAGGUGAUGGUGACAAAAGGGGAGAUUGUGUUAGGUGAUGGUGGCGAAGGCGUAGAUCGUGAUAUGUGACGGCGGCGGAGGCAGACCUUGUGUUAGGUGAUGGCGUCGGAGGCAAGGUUCGUGUUAGAUGACGGCGACAGAGGCGACUGUUGUCGGGAUGUACCAGAAAAGAUGAAUGUGGCAUGGCGGGAGAAGGUGAAUGGUACGGAAAAAAGGAUUUUUAGGAAAAACUAAUAUAUUAACUAAAUAAAAAAUAUAUUUUUUUAAAAACUAAUUACUAUAUAAAUUACGAGUAUUUUUUAUUAUAUUUGUUGACUGGGAUGGGUGAUUGGACUUCCACAUCAAUAAUUUAUCGAACAAUGGAUAAAAAUUGAAUGGAGGUACCACAUAGUUACAAUUUAAUAAGUAUUAGGUUACAAAUAAAAGAUAAAGUACCAAAAUGUAUCUUUUUAAUAACUAAGGUACAAAUAUACAUUUUUGAUAGGUAACCGCUACUAUUUAUAAAAGGUAAAAUCCCCUCAGCUAUCAUAAAUUAUUUGAAAAAUAUAUUUUUAGCAUCGUACGUCGGAAACAGAGAAAUCAACAACUGACGAUGAGCUUGUGAGAGAGGAGAUCGACGUCGGAGCUAUGGAUGAGAUCGAGGAAGUGCUGGGUACGCCAUGGUGAGAGUUCUCUGUUGUGUUUUUUUUCUUGAGAUCAAAACUUUUUGAUCAAGGUGUUUUGGGGGACGAGGUGCAAAAAGAGUGGGAUUUGCAUAAUUCGUCCCGUUUAAAAGGGAAUGGGAAUGUCCAUUUUGGAUAGAAUUUGGGCUAAUUAAAAUUUUAAAAGUUUACGAUUUUGGAGUGAAAUUUCCAUACCGAAAACACGGAUUUGGUCCCAUCCAUGGGAAUUGAUCAGAUCCUGAGCCCAAAUUCAAUACAAAAAACGAUUGCUUAGUUAUCAUUAAUCUUUAUAAUUUUCGGUAAUCUCAAUUCUCGCGUCCAAACGGUCUCAUUAUCGUACCCCAGAUAUUAAUAACUCUCAUAGUACAAUAACUAAUGUGGAUUUACUUAAGACGAGAAUAGUCUAACACAGUGGCCCCUCCUAGUUUGAACAAAGUGGUAGAUUGGCAACAAAUUUUCAAACUUGCCGACUCAACUUGUUCCAUACGUACGUAGUACACCCACCAUGCAUUUAUAAUCCAAAGCCCCAUCAGACCAGAGAUCAAUUGUUAACGUGAAUAUAUCAGUAGCCACUGGCCACAUAUUUGGAUCUAAGACUCACCAUAUAUAAAAAGGAGGCACCCAUUCUUCUAAUUACACCAUUCAAGUAAGCUGCAGCCCUCAAACCAACACAAGACAAAAAAAACAUGGCGCUCAUGAUCACAAACUUGGCAGUUCUGUUCCUCGGAGCUUUACUAGCCAUAAGUACUAGUGCCACUCUUUCUAUGGGUGAUGAUGAUAAUGGCUAUGAGAGCCGUCUAGCCAUGAGGAAGGCGCCAAUACCAUCACCAAUUGUGCCUUAUUAUCCUACACCUCCAAGGAAAGUCGGGCCGCCGUUGCCGCCGAAGACGAAGGGGAAGCCUCACCAUAGCCAAUCUCCAAUUGUUCCCUACUUCCCCUUCUAUUACAUCCCAGCACCAUCACCGCUGCCUAAUAAUUAACUAAACAAGGAGGUGAGCCACCUGUUCAUGUACGUAGAACAUUUCCAAGGGAUGAAUAAAAUAAUAGUUUCAUAAGCCAUAUUUCCCGACUCGUCAUAUAUGAAUACAAGGAUGAAUUAGGUUCAGAUUAUUGUUUAAAAAGUUGUGUCUUAUAUAUAUAUUCUCGUGCAACUUUGCAAGUUAUUACUACAGUUUGAUCCUCUCUGUCCUAGCAGGUACGUUUUUCUGGACAACUAAGUGUUGAAUGCUGAUGAUUGAUGCAAUCAGUUAUGCAGUGUCUAAUUCCUUGUGCGCGGUUAUAUCAGUGUAGUUAGUAAAAUACGAUAUUGGUAUAAUACGAUAAUUAUACAUACAUGUAUAAUAUAACAAUUUUUUAGCAAUAGUACAAUAAAAAAGUCGGCGAUUAAAACGGCUAAUUGAAUUAGACGGAAAUAAGAAUUAUAUAUGCAUAAUACUUAUUUUAAUUUAAUAAACGUCAUUAAAAAUACGGAUAUAUCUUAUAAAAAAUUAUUAAAAAGUUGAUAGGACUUUGACAUAAAUAAAAUAUGAGUGAACUGAAAAGGGAAUCAAACUUUCAUAUUUUAUUUCAUAUAUACGGCUCAUGCGUCUUUAUACGCGCACUAAAUGGAUUCCAUUAUUUAAACGCGUAUUAGACGGCGGACAAACACAAAAAACGGGAAACGGAGUAAAAAACAGGGAUACGAAUUGUACGCGAAUAAGAUAGCGUUUUUUCCGUAUAAACUAACUAGACCGGACGUAGUCCGUAUUUUAUUUGGAGGUGAUGUCGAAUUCCCGACGAAGAUGAAGAACUAAGAUUGAGUAUCUCUUCGAGUAAGUUUUUUAUAUUUAAAUAAAUGUAAAGAUAAUUUUGUAACUUUUUAAAAUCUAAGGAGAUUAAUUUAACGUACGACGUCGAAUAACAAUAAGGGUAAACUCAAAUCCGGACCCAAAGCAAUCGCCACAUAUUUCGAAACCCCAAUCUCAGACAUUCUAUCUAGUUUUGACUCCUUUGACUAAUGUAAUAUUGUAGAUUGGAGUAGGUAGUCCAGCCAUUAUAUUAUUAUCAUUUUUCCUAAAAACAUCAAGCAACCACAACCUCCGACGAGGGUCCGCCGAUGGCGCAGCUCUCCAGAGGGUUUCUAGUGACUUUUUUGGCGAGUUUUCGCUAACUUUUUCAUAAGGUUUUUGUAAUAUAUUACAAUCGUUUGUAUCAAAUUACACGAAUAACAAGUUAGAAACGACUAAAAUCAGUUACAGACGAGUAUAACAUGUUAGUUGUGUAACACAGGGUAUACACAGAAUAGGUUUAAUAUUUUGCAACUGAUUAUCACCAUAUGUAACACGAUAUAAUCGCAUAUAACUAAUUACACGAAUACUAAUUAUAAUCGUCAAUAACUAGUUAUAAUCACCGACAAAAUACCAUUUGGAUCCGACCACCUUUGCCUAGUGGAUCUUGGCAGCUUACCUAGGACCUGGCUAUGCCCCUCGCCAUAAGACUCCCUUCUCACGGUAAGAAUGUUUGGGAGUCAUAAUUAUCAGCAAAUAACCAAACCAAUUACCACCACGUUACAAUGUCGGCAUGCAUUGCAAUUUGCAAGAUGUUGAUUGAUUUAGCUUAACUGUAAAAGACAGCGCAGCAUUAAUUAUCAUUCACGACUUAAUGAGCCCAACUCCAUUUCUUAGAGGGCAACAAAGCCAAGUCUCUUAUCUGCACCAAAUUUCCCAACUUUCCAACUAAUGGAGCAUUGAUUCCUCAACCAAUUCCAAUUUAACUCCCCACAGCGCAGCAUUACUAUAAAAAUAGGCAACGCUAUCUCUCCUUUCCAAACCACACUCCUACCGAAAGCAUAUCAGUCUAAUUAGCCUAAAAUGGAACUCAGCCACUUCCUACUUGUGCUUAUUGUGGCUCUAGCGGCUGCUAUAUCACUGACCACCGUUCCUUCCGAGGCUGCUGAGUUCGUCGAAGAGAAGCCCUUUUUCAAGAAGAAGCUGCCCAAGUUUGAUUAUCCUAAGCCAUACCAUUACCACCACCCACUCUUCAAGAAGCCGGUCGAUCCUUUCCACCACAAGCCGCUGAUUAAGCCGCUGCCCAAGAAGGUUUACCCCAAGUUCAAGUACCCUAAGUAUGGCCACUAUCACCCUGGACACCCUCCUGUCGAGAAACCCUGAUUAGUUGAUCAUCAAUCAAUCGUCAUAUUAUAUAUAUGAAUAUUGUUGGAGUGUAUGAAAUAAGUCGUUACACCGUCAUGUGUAUCAUGGUGUUUUUUUAUAUAUGUAUCAUCUUUCUAGCUGAUCGAUGCGUUUGAGAGUUGGCGUGUAGCCUGAAUACUGUGUGGCAUGUAUCAAUUUCCUGACUAUGGCAGGAUUGUAAGUUCAAUCAAAGUAUGUUUCUAUUUCCGCCACACUAUGAGUCUACUAUGCCUAGACUGUAGAGUACAUUCUUCUUGUGGGGAAUUUAAAGCCCAUAUUAUUGGAGUCCACAAUGAAAGCCCGUUGGUGACAAGUCCAUCGAGUCUUGAAAAAGUGAUGAUAGCCCAUCUACAAUCAACAACGAUAACCCAUUAGUCCAUUUCCAGAAAUCUUUUAGUAAUAUUUUUAAAGUCAGUCAGAAUAAACUCAUUAGAUUGGUUUCUCAAAAUAUAAAUAUUUUUAUAUGAUGAUAUAAAACAAUCGGACUUAAAUUAAAAAAAAUAAUUUUUUUAAAAAUAAUCAAUUUUAAAUCUGGGCCUUUAGAUUGAAAAAUUGAAUUCGGCAGACUUCUGAAAAAUAUUUUGAGCACUACACCACGAUGGGGGUGCAACUCCAAGUAAUCCAAGAGAAAGGAAGAAGAGGGAAAGACUGACUUUGGUGAGUAUGAUGGUGUGCUUUUAUGGCCAGGUUCAGUUAACCCAAUAACAUAGCCCAUGAAAACGACGUCCCCCACCUUACGUAUCAAUUUAAAUUUUCAAAGAAUGCAAAUCAUACCCGAAGUUCAACUGCCACUCACCAAUCACUCCUACUAAAAGAUUAGUAGAUUACACCACUUCAUUCAUACAAAAACAAUAAUAGUUUCAAAUCAAUUGGAGACCAGUCAUAGUUGUGCUCAAUUUUGUUAUGCUGAUCGCUCAAAUCCCUAAAUCUAUACUUUACGUUAUUAAAUCACCUAUGAAAACGGUCCAUAAAAUAUUUGUCACAAUGUCAAAAGUUAGGCUACUAUUGUGUAUUAUUCUUUCUUAUUUGGUUAGAUAAGAUACAAUUGUUCCCUGCUAAUUGAUACAUUAAUUCCUUAUAAAAGCUAUAAAUUACCAUCCGAAAGAUAAUGAAGCAAACUUUGACAUUUUGAAUGGACUGAACAAAUAUUCCUCAACGACCAAUGACCAUGCUACAUAAAAAAAAAUUUGACAUUUUGGUAAACACAGUAGAACUCAAUUGUAAAUUACCCCACGUGAUGAUAUCAUCUUCUGAGAAGUCCCUAUCACAACUAAACUUGUCUAGGCAAAAAAGGAAGCAAAUUAAACUUUUCAAUUAGAGGAUAAUCAAUGGAAUUGAUGUGAAGACUCGAAGCACGAUCAAAUACAAAUAUAUCUGUUUGUUAAACUAUCGCCAACUAAUUUAAUUGACUAACCCAGUUGGUUCUUAGAUGCCUGAAUUCUGUCUCCUGCUGAAAUUUUCGACCGUUGAAGUCUGCUGAAUUAUUAUGAGACCGGUGGAUCGAACAUUUUGAUCGAUGGUUGCGUGCGAGUCGUGUAAUUAUAUGAGAACUGUGAUGAUAUUUUGGGCAUAGCAUGUUUCAUUUAGAAAAUGGUAGUUGAAAUGACAAUUUCUCCGCAAGGUCUCAGUCUGUCUGAACAUUUAAUGCGAUUCUCUUCGAUUCUCUCUCUCCUCCAGCGUUCCUCUCAGCAUUCCGGCGGUGUUCAUCAUUAUCCUCCGACGUUCAUCUCACAAUUCCGACGUUCGUCAUAAUCCUCUGGCGUUCAUCUCCCAGUGUUUCGCCGUUCAUCAUAAUCCUCUGGGGUUCAUCUUACUCAUCCGGCACCCUCCCCCGCUUGUGCGCUGCUUCUUGCUCCGCCGUUCAUCAUUAUUCUCGUUCAACUAUUGAUAAGAGGCAAUCAACUAUGUGACCGUCGAAAGAAAACAAUCAUCGAUAGGAGGCCACCAACAUACAUCUGUUAUCUAUUUUAUUAGGUGUCAAUAAGUUUUUUAUGGCUUAAUAAAGCCAUUCAAUAUUCUCAUUCGACUAUUGGUAGGAGGUAGUCGACUAGAUGGAUAAAAAAAAUCAAAUCAAAUGGCCUAUUUACCCCAAAAAAUAAUUAAUAUACCUAACUUGGCCCUAAUAAAAUCAAUAACUUUCUUAUUUUUAACCAAUAUAGUUCAUUUUGAAUGUAAAUAAUAAAUCUUACGUAACAAACUCAUGACUUAUAUAACAACAACUACUAACUCAAAAUCACUUUACUUAUAACUAACACAAAUUACCGUAUUUAUAUUUUAGGUUUGUAUAAUUUUCCCCACAAGCAAAGGAAAGUUUUUGUUGGUCCAAGUAAUAUAAAUAAAAGAAAAUUUUGGUUUGAAUUGAACAAGUGGACCUUAAUAAUGAAAAGCGGAGUAGAGACCAUUUUGGAAUAUUCAUAUUUAUUNNNNNNNNNNNNNNNNNNNNGAAUAUUCAUAUUUAUUUGCUAGUUUAGUGUAAUUAUAUAGAAAUUUGAGGCUAUUUUCUUGUUAUUAAUAUAAUAAUUAGUUGACGUGGCUGUUCUUUCUCCAACUCAUUUCAAGUCGUGUGUGUAAGUAUGAUUUGGAACAUGUGCGUCAUUGAAUCUUCAAAAUCUUCUGGACAAUGAAGGAAAGGAAAUGUAAUGGCAACUCUAAAACAAUUGGCAUCUAUGUAGUCUACUACUUGUCGUUACUAGAAUAUGAUAUAUAUCUCUUUUUUUCUAGUGUUGUUUAGUUACUAAGAAUCAAAUAAUUUACAAAGUAAAUUUGAGUUCAAUAAUCAUAUUUUAAGAUGCAAUAACAAAAUCAAAAGGUGACAAAUCCUUUUUUUUAAAAAAAAUUUUAGAAGCAAAUAACAACGUGGAUAAAAGAGCCUAUGUAUCAAGUUGUAAAUACUAUUAUUAUGGUGGAUAGCUUUAUUUAAAUCUGUGGAUAUUUAUUCGUUUAUUUGUGAAUAUAGGAUUUAAAAUCUAUAAAAAAAGAAUCAUAGCAUUGCGAGAUCAUAAAUUAUAUCGACCGAUGAGGGAUCUGAAAGAAGAAUGAGACUGUGCAGUCCAAAUAGCAGUGGGCUCCCUACAAACUUACAUUUCUCAUUAGAGAGUAACGUUAGGUUGUUUAUUUGAAAACUUAAGAAGAAAACAAAAUAGAACAUUGACCGACUUAGCUCGUGCCCUUCUUGCAUUUUUUAUAAGGAAGAAUCUCUUAGAUAGAUAGAUUUAUCGCCGUUAGGGAAACUUUUGGGCUUGUUAGCAUAGAGGGAGACCGGUAAUAUAAUUACAUAGGUAAAAUGGUUAUGCAUUCGAUUAUUUGUUUGGCUUUGCAUUUUUUGUAUAUGGAAUUUCAAAAUGUUAUUUGAAAUUUAUGUGUUUAGAUUUUAAUGUUAUUUUGUGUAUAUUUCAAAUACAAUGUAAAACAUUAUUUAAUUACGUAAUGCAGAAGCAUCAAUGAAGGUUUUCGACAAAAAAUUAGACGAUUUUUUUUCGGCGAAUGAACUUUGAUGGUACACUUCCGCAACCAUAACUCCACCUCUAGAAUUGUAUCUGAAGAAUUUUGAAGGCGGAACUCUACUGGUAAAAUUCCAUCGACAUCGAGCCUCUCUCAAUAAAGUAUCGGUGCUGGAGGCGAAACUAUACCGAUAAAAAUUUGGCUCUAGCAGCAAAAUUUUACCUUCCACCUUGGAACACUACCACUAGAAUUUAGACGGUCCAACUCAAUCAAUAGAAUUAUGAAAACAAAACUUAUUACAAAUGUUUAUAUAUAUUCGAACUCAUAAAUUAGAUAUUUGAAAUACGCAAUAUUCAUAAUAUUGUAGCCGUCACAAAUUAUUAAAAAAGUUUCAAAUUUUGUCGCGAUAUUAAUCUUUCUCUAAUAUGAGUUGACAAAAUGAUAUAUUUUGUCAUGUGAAAUGGUAAUAUAGAUGACGGGAGUUGACGGUGAUACAAAUUUUAAUGACAAGAGUUGAUAGGCGUAACAGAAUUUAACAGCGAAAAACAACAUAAUCUUAAAUGUUUUUGCUAAAUCACAACACUCGCUAUAUAUAUUAUGAAUGGAUCAUGUAGUUUCAUUAUAAGCAACAAUACUCCAAACACCCAAACAUAUAUAUAUAGCCAGGGUGUGGGCAUCUUUGUUGAUACGGGACUUUGAACUGGCUAGUCCCUUGCUCAGAACAAUUUGGGUGAGAAGAAAACUCAAAUGAAACCGAAUCAAACAACAAUGGUCGUCAAUGUACCCAAAAGAGAUAGCUUAUAGUUUGCAUUAAAUUGAGUGCUUGUACUUGUAUUUAUACAUAGCCUACAAUUCUGAAUCCUCUAAACUUAAGAAGGUCUUGUCUGGAUGUUGCCAAAACAAAAUAAAAGGAUAAAAAUGACCAAAACGCAGAAAUAGCCAAACAGAGACUGACUAGUUUAGGAACAAAACGACGACCCAAAACAAAAACAAAAAACAGAGCAACUCUGUUUACUCUGAACUAUCUCUGCUUCAAUAUUCCUUUGCCAAUUAAUUAUACUAACGCACGCCGGCGGUCUCAUCGGAAGAAUUCAUCAGCAACUCCUCCAAAUAAUCGGCUCCCAAAUCCUCCAAGACCACUACAUUCAAAUGAUCCCUUUCGUUCUUCUUCCCUCCCCGUCCGUUCAUUUUCCUCCUCAUGGAGUGCUUUCUCUUUAACGCUACCACCGGCGAGCAACCUUCCUUCUCCUCCUCUUCCUCGUCCCGCCGGACGUUGCACCCCAUGUCCUCCAGCGACUCCACCACCAACUCCACCGGGAAGUUCAUUAUCGCCGCCGGCCCCCUCAUAGAGAACGCCGCCUGGUCGUACGCCAGAGCCGCCGCCUCUGCGCUGUCGAAUGUUCCGAGCCACACCCGGACACCGUGCCGAGUCGAAUCCCUUAUUUCCGCCGCGAAUUUCCCCCACGGCCUCCGCCUCACUCCCCUGAAGGACUUGUCCUUCUUGUUAGCUGGCGGCGGUGGCAAUGAUGGUUUGUAGGCGGCGGAGUCGGAGCUGACUUCCUCUUCUUUGAUGGUUGGUUUGGUUUGACUGUUGUUGGAGGCGAUGAGGCCGAACAAGAGCAUUUCUUCGGAGUCGUUCUCGUUGAAGGGUAGAUGAUGGGUUUGGUUGAGGGAUUGACUGGAGAAUUGCUCCGGUGAUCCGAAGGAAGAGGAUUCCGGCGAUGAGAAGUGGAAAAUUGGGGAUCCCAUUGAAACCAAGAUGGAUGGAGAAUAACAAUUGGGACUAGUGCUUAUUUCUCUGGUUGUAGUUGUGUCUUGGAGGCGCAUGUUUGGUUUUGUUGGGUAUGCGGAAUUUUUUGAAGCUUAACGACGCUAUUUAUACCCACCAGGCAGGGGCACAUUAACCGUUGGGUAAGAAAGGUAAAAUAUGGCGGGUAACUCGGGUAUCGACUAGUGUGGUUAAAUUAUUAUUUGUUUUUAACCCCGUGUGUGUUAGUGGAACCUACGUAGUCGAAUGGAUUUGGUGGGAAAAUGGUAGGGAAACCUGGCGGCUCCCCCGCUGCUGCAGCAUGUCAGCCUCAGUUCCAACUUCCAAUCCCCAUUAAGGAAAUAUACUUUAGAUCGUCUUGAAAGGAUUCAAAAGCGAUUUCUUUGGGCUGGUAACGUUGAGAAGGAUAAGAUUCAUUGGGUGGAUUGGAGUAAUGUCAAACCCCCUCUCAAUAGAGGUGGUUUGGGAAUUGUUGACUUGAGGACUCUCAAUUCUUCUUUACUCGCUAAAUGGAUGUGGAGGUACGCUAGUGAGAGGAAUGCUUGGUGGAGACAGUUGAUUGUCAAUAAAUGUGGGGUAGGGCCGUUCUUGUGAAUACCUAAGUGGGAUCUCGGUUCUUCAGGCCUCUCGUUGUGGAAGUGGGUGAUCUCUACUAGUUCAUUGUUCUGGAAGUUUGGCUAUAUUGAUUUAGGGGGUGGGAUGAGGGAUUUUUGGUACGAUUAUUGGAUUCCUGGGGUGAGAUUGAGUGAUGCUUAUCCAAGGAUUGUAACAGCUUCCCAAUCCUUGGAUUCAUGUGUUUCUGACUUGGUUUAUUUUGAUGAUAGGCGGCAGAGGAAUAUCCCCCUCGUUACCAAUCUGAGGGGUGGUGCUCGGCGGGAAUUGGAUCACUUAAUGCUCCGCUUGUCCAACCUCCCUGGUACAUUUAUCACUGCUGGUCCGGAUGCAAUUGUGUAGCCGUUAGAAAAGAGUGCGUGCUUUACGGUGAGCUCAUUAAGGAAGGCUGUUUCUAUUGGAAAAUUUCAUGGGGUUGAUGGUUGUCCUCACUCUACUAUUUGGGCCAAAGGCGUUCCUACCAAAAUUCAAAGCUUCUGCUGGAGUGUCUUUCACAAGAAGAUCGCCUCGAUCGACAACCUCCAAAGGCGUGGUUUUCAAAUGGAAAAUCGGUGCGCUUUGUGUAAGGAUCAAGAGGAAUCGGUGGAACACUUGUUUCGGGGGUGCAAAUUGUCAUUGCAGGUUUGGGGAAGAAUUAAAUCUAUUCUCUCCAUCCAUGGUCCGCUGCCCCAGCACAUCGAGGAGGUUAUUCUGUCCUGGAAAGGAUUUAGCUGCAUCCAUGAGUUUAAAGAUGUGAUGCACUUUGUGAUGCAUGCUACUUUGUGGAUGUUGUGGACUGAGCAUAAUGACAGGGUUUUCAACGACAAGGAGAAGACUACUGCUUCUAUUGUCCGAAGAAUCAUGGUAAAUUGUGGUCUCUAGGAGAAGGCUGCUGGUUAUUUUGGCCCUGAUAAGCAUCAGCAGCGUUCUAGUUUUAUCUUUGAUCCGGGCUAAGUAGUUGCUCAUAGGGGGUCGGUUUUGGGGUGCUUUGCUGGGGGUAGGGAUGCCUGUCCAGCUGAUUUUGGGCAGUAGUGUUUCGUCGGGGUUUUUGGGUCGACUGGGUACUGGUGGCUAGGAGCAACCCUACAGUUUCUGGGUUCUUCCUUCUGUAUCACGUUGUCACCGUGUUCUUGGGGCCUUGGUUUUCUUUUCUUGGGGGCGGGGUCUGUGUUCUCAUUUUUUUUCCGGUGCCUUUUGUAUAGUUUGUACAGUCCUCUCUUUUGGUUAAAUAUAUCCUAAUAUCGCAUUAUCAAAAAAAAAUCUCCCUAAAUCUUUAUUCCUUUUAGUUAAUGUCUAAAUAUGUGAUUUAAGAUCAAAUCUCUUCCAAAAUCUACAACACCUGUUAAAAUCAUACAUUCAAACUAUCUGCCUACACCUUCAAUUCAUCCAUAAUCUCUAGCUGAUUGCAGAUCCUUCUGCCACCUCCAUAAAAUUGUCGAUGUCAAGACCAAGUCCGAAGAGGCUUUCUAUGUAUGACUCCAUGGAAUAUAUCAAGGCACCAGAAGGGGUUAGCUUCACCAAGGACAAGGAACAUGCAUGUGAUCUUGACUCCAUGUCUCGUAUUUAAAGAGGGUUCCAAAACCACAAAUUUUAUUUGAAGAGGUUUUAGCCGUGUAUUAAUUAUUUUUUUCCAACAAAAUCAAAACAUUCAAUUCAAAUCAACUAAAUUUUUCUCAUCAAAAAAACAGGUGGCAGACUAGAUGGAGCCACAAAGCUAGCAGGUGAAGAUCGCUGCACCAACGAGGAAGAACAAGAACUGUCAAAAAGCAUUACAAGAAAUUGAGGAGGUAACAAAAGAUUUUUGUUUAAUUUAAAAGUGGUCUGACCACUAUUAAAUUUUUUAAUAACGGAUACGAAUUUAUUGUUAAGUUGAGUGACGAUAAAAAUUCUUAAAAUGUUAAAAUAGGAAAGUGAUAAGUUUGAGUAUAACACCAAUAUAUAAAAGUUUUUUUACAUUAGCAUAAGAGUUCAUACACAUAUUCUUACAAAACUUUAUUCAUCAGGUUAUAUGGCCACUUCUCAUCAAUUUCCGCCCAUAUUUACCUUUUAAACAUAUAAAUAUAACAAAAUCUAGCCGAGAUAAAAUUCAAUUUAUGUUAUAUAAAUGCGAAUUAAUGAGUUGAUAACCUGACAUUAACAUAAACAUUUUUCUUAGAAAAGUAAUCAAAUUGUAUAUGUAAUAUUGUUAAUAAAAUUCCUAUUUUAACAAUCUUUCUAAAUUAACAACCUCCUUUGUAUCUCUAGUAAUUAUUAGGUAGAAUUACUUCGACCUCAUUUGACAAUAAAAAAAACAAAUAGAAUUAUUAAUUGAAAGAACAGUAAGUAGAAUUAUUAAUUGCUUUAUACCUAAUAUUUUUGUAAAUUGGAGGAGGAAAUAACUUGUCAAAUACAGAUUUGCAGCUCAAAAUUGUAAAGUCCAAGUUGACGUCAGGAAAUGGUGAAUCUCUUUGGAAGGGAGCGGACUGCGGAGGCGCUCGUUUGUUGGUUUAGAUUUGGCUCUUUAAUUACCACUUGUCAAUCUCUCGCGUCACGUGGAUCAUUAUUGAUUGCGACUCUUCUUUCUUUCCCUGCAACCCCGCCCUUUUCCUGGAAAUUCCCCUACACUAAACUAAAAUUUACUUUUACCGUUCCAAAUUAACUUAACUAUUCCGUUAACUCCCAAUAUUUGAGUAUACUACCCAACGGAAAUGCUCUAAUUACCAAACUUUUGUCGAUAUUUACUGCGCUCCCCUGCUCCAUUUGGGCAAGAACCUGGACUUUACAAAAGAAACGUUUCAACUUCAAACUACAAAUAACCGGCAACAUUUACUUUUUAACAAUUAUGAAGAGCCCAUAAAACUAUUACAGUUUUGAAAUUACGUCCCCAGUAUUGAAGUAGAAUCGGCUUGCGGCAGCUGCCUUCAUUGGUUCGUGUGGUAUUUCACUUCCAUUCCCCAGCCACAGACAGCCACCUCCGCCAGCUGCCUUACGGAACUAAAAAUCAUCCGCCUAGUAACCCAAUAAUAGUUUGUGUUUAAUGCAGACUGUUUAGAAACUUGCUAUAUUUCUUCUUCUUGAGUUGACUGUGAGGUCAAGAUUGCUCAUUAACCCCUUGAAGAGUCACGAGAACCCUCAAACUUAAUUUCAUAUAUUAUCUUGACUCCAGAUAAAAUGAAAAAGCCAUGCUUUUAGUUCAUCAUUGAGCUACGAAAUGGGAUACAGAUUCAAUUCACCAUAUCCUCAAAACUCCCCUUUUCACUGCACAGUCUUAACAACAAGUAACGGGUUUCAUGUGAAUUCAGUUGGUGAAAAUAGAAAGAAUCAUAACUCAGUUCUCUUUUUGUUUCCACUCGUGAUCAGCAGUCAAAUAAAAUUAACGAAAAGGACUUGUUCCUGCUAUGAAACGUAACUCUGGCUACUUAAUCAGGCCAAGAGCAGAGCAUCUGAAGUAGUGUUAGAUUUAGGACAGCCACAAGUAUGUAUAAAAAAUUUAGAUCAGGCAUCAUUAUCCUAAGACGUCGUAGAGGCUAUCUGUCCAGAAAAAUAAAUAAAUUUCUGGGGUUUUCCGAAACAUGGUCUAGAUUCAGGGCCUCUUGCUUCAUCGUCAAUGUAAGUUUUCAUAUCGUCUUUCAAAGUCACUCGAGCUUUGAGAUGAAUAAGAAUCGACACCCUUGGAGAGUCGCUAUUUCUUUCUACAGAAGAAUGAAAAUAUAUAAAUUCGUAUUUGUAGGUGAAUGUUUAAUUAUUAAAUACAAUAUUAAAUUAAUAGGAGGUGAAAAGGUCAUUUAAUAUUUUGUUAUCUUUCCACCACCCACCUGCCCCUUGUCGUUAUAUUACUAUCUCCGGCGAUUGGACCAUCAUUGUUGGCGACUUGAAUUUUUUUCAGAAAUUCUCACGAGAUUUCACCCAAGUGAUUGCUGUGAAAAUUUUCAGAGACCGGUUGUACUUGUACGAGAGUUGUUCUGAUUUAUACAACGUGUACACAACUUAUGUUGGAUUGUACGCAGUUUGUAAAAAGUGAGUGGUAAAUUUUCAUUUUUGCUGUUGAAACUCUGACCGUUAGAUUUAAAGUUAAAUUAUGAACGAUUGAGAAUAACUCAGAUUCAGACUAAUGGAGUUUUUUAUGUUAUCCAUAACGACACACUUAUUAGUCAUUCUAAAAAAAAUAUGCAUAUAUAUGAAGCUUCGAAGAACCUCAGGAUGUCCCAUUCAAUUUCUAUGGAUGACACGCCACAAAUAAACAUAUCCCAGAAAAGGCUUUAUAUUGGUUAGCCUGAAUUCUUUUUACAUAUUUUACAUAUGAUCUCAGUCUCAAACCUAUAAGACCAUUUCUAAUAUUUUGAGAUAAAUUGUUAAAGUGUUAUAAAACUCAAAAUUAAAAUUUUAUAUUUAGCUCAAUCAAAUGUAAAAGUGUGUCAAAUUUAGCUCACUAGUCUAAGAAUUUGUAUUAGCGGAGAAGAUUUAUCGGAAUCUAUAAUUUUUUAUCAAUUCUCCUAUUAUUUUUAUUUUCAUUUGAAUUCUGAUUUGGAUAAUUUUUAUAUCAAAAUUCCUAUCUUUCAACGACGAAUAUAACAAGUUCAAUUUCGAUAAUAUUUCAAAACUUUAAAAACUACUUAAAAAGUCAAAUUUAACACUUUGAUUUGGCAUUUUUAAGCUCACCAUUGGAGCAGAAACACUUUUCGAAGUCCUAAAUUGUCAAAUUUAACACUUUAGUUUGUCACUUUAGCAUUUAGGUCUAACUACAGGAAAAUCCAACUAUUUUUAGUUUUAUCAUAGAUUGAAUUGGGAAGCUCGUUUGGUUCUAGAAUGUACGUGCGCAAAGAUAAAUGCGUAACAAAACUAGUUAUAAUUAAGGAUUUGACCUUUUCACUUAUAUUAAAACGUAUUUAGGCCUUUUGUGUGAUAUUGGAGUUGAUGAUACUGAACAUAUUUUUCAGAAUUGUACAUAUGCUUAGGUGAUUUGGUCUUAUUGUUUAGGAGCCUCUGUCGUAGCUGGAGAGAUUUUGUUGAUUGUGUAGCUGCUAUGAUGGUGACAAUGUCUACUCUUUCAGGAUGUUCUGAAGAGAUAUUGUAUAUAACGUUCAGUACGAAAGAUGUCGAUGUAACGUUGGAGAGAGGCCCAACUCUGUUCUUUCUAUUUGCCCAAAGAUAUUCACUAUUUGAUAAACCAUAGAUAAUGAAUGCUCCUAGUCGUUUGUAUAGGUUCUUUCCUAAUCUGGUAGGUUGUGCGCAGACUUUGUAUGCCACUCUCUUGGUGGUAUGCCUUGGUUUUGGGGCAUGCUGCAUUGUAACGAAUAAAAUACUAUAUUCAUCGAAAAAAAGUAUUUGGGAUUUUUAUUUUUUAUUAUUUUUAUCUAUUUAUUUUUUUAAAUUCCCGGCAUUUUUUUAAAUUCCCGGCAUUCCUAUGGCUAGUAAUUUUUUGACAAAUGGUUGACAAGUCUCCAAAGAAUGGUUGGUGAGUCUUGGACAAAUUUUCCAUUAAGUCUUCAGUGACUUUCUUGGCGAAAAUUUAAGACUAGUUAUAAAUGAAUAAUAAAACUAAUUAUAAUUCAAAUAACUAGUUAUUCCAACUAGUCUUAUAACCAAACAACGAAAUAUUUAAAUUCACUUACUAGUUACGCGAUUGAUAGUAUAACCAGUUAUAUGCAAAAAUAAUUAGUUAUAUUAUAUUCGAAUAAUCGAAUAUUAUACGAUGGAUAUUCGGAAAAUUAAAUUAUAGUGACUAUUUUUUAAUAAAGCAGUAGCAAUUGACUAUUUUGUUGUAUAAAGCAGUAGCAAUUGACAAUUGAGUCAUGCUCCUUGAGCACUGGAAUCUUCAAGAAAUAGUUUUAUAAUGUUGGUCCUUUAAUGUAAUUUAUUUAAUUUUUGAAAGUAAUUAUUUCCACAAUUCAGCUUGCUAAUCAAAUACCUGUUUUGGUGUGGACUAAUCGAAGACGAAUAAACGUAGAGAUCCAUUAAAAUCUUUUGCUCCCGAGUUUAGAAGUGACAAUUCAUCUAAAACCUCAACCUGAAAUUUAUUGAGAGCCCAUCAAUUCUGAACUUCUGGGCCGGGAAUGAGCAAGAACCAACAAGUUAGUCCCACAAAAGCCCAAUUCUUAUUAUCCUCUCACAUAUUAAUUUUAAGACUAGCUUGCUUAAAAAUUUAAUUUUUACAUGUUUAAAACAUUUUCAUUACAAAAUUUAUUUAUCAAUUUUUAGUUAUUUUUACAUGGUAAGCACCCCUCAUUGCCUACAUUCCUACAAUUAUUUAGCAAUUUCAAUUGAUUAUUUAUAAUUUUAUUAUUCCAAUGAUACAGAUCAUUCAUAGUAUAUUUUUUUAUUCAUAAAAUAUUUUUUUGAAAAAACUCAUCCCCCAUAUAAACCAGGAUGAUAGUUCAAAGAAUCAAGUUUUGAAUUCGUAGCUGAUAAAGAGUUUUUUUACUCUCUAGUGUUCGAAGGAGUCCUCUUUGUUAAGAUAACUAAUUUCAUGAUGUUUAUCCAUUUAGUUGAUAUGUAGUGUAUGUUUAUUUACUCGUCAACAAUAUAUAAAAAUUCAACACAUUAUAUUUUUAUGUACGAAUCCGACCAAAUUCUAUUUAAUAUGGUUUUUCAGGUUACCUAAAAUUCGGUUUGACUGAGCAAAGUCAGGCUAAACCAAACCAAUGAAAUUAAUGAACAUCGAAAUGAUGUAAAUUCGUGGGAAAUGUAAAUGAAACAGGACGAUUGAAUAGGUACACAUUCCUAAUGAAUAGUGUAGAGCGUUUGUGGUUUCGAUAGUUUUAAUGAAAUACAUUGGCAAUGCUGACAUCCAUCCAACGCCCAAAACGUCAUUAACUUGUGUUGUUCUAAGAGAAGUGAAUUGGGAAUUGAAAUUAUUGGUCUGAAUAGGUAUAUGUACAUUUGGAAUUCCAAACAAAUUUUCAAAUUGAUCGCUAAACUACUGUGAACCCCAUGCACGUCGAUAAAUUUAAUGAAGAAUGGUAUAGGUAAAUUAUGACAGCUCCGGCGACCUGACUUGUAAUUUGUUCAAACGUUGAUUCAACGGAAGGUCAAUGAAGCUGUAGGAUUUCGUCACCUCCACCAUACGUCAUACCUGACCACAUUUUUAAAUAUACUUAUAUAUAUAUUGGCGCCAACUCUGAAGGAAAUAAUUAACAACUAAAUAUCAGGUCUUUUGUUUAAACUACUAUUAACAGCAGAGCAUGGAGGCCAGGAAAAGCAUUAUUAGUGGUGGCGAAGAUGAGCAUCAUCAGCAGGAAGUGAAGUAUCGGGGUGUGCGGCGGAGACCGUGGGGGAAGUACGCGGCAGAGAUACGUGACCCGGCGAGGCGAGGCUGCAGGCUGUGGCUGGGUACUUACGACACUGGGGAGGAGGCAGCUCGUGCUUAUGACAGAGCAGCCUUCGACAUCAGAGGAAACCUCGCCAUCCUCAACUUUCCGAACGAGUAUUACUUGCGGCGCCCGAGUAGUAGUAGUCCUAAUAAUGUCGCCGGUGGCCGUGACGGGCGAGAUUUGGAGGACGAAGGAGGGAGAAAGAAAGAGAAGCAGGUGUUGGAGUUGGAGUACUUGGAUGACAGCGUGCUGGAUGAGCUUCUUCAACAUUCACUGCAAGAAGAUAAUCACAAAUCACAAACUGAAGAGUAAUCAAUCAUUGAUAUUUGACGACGGUAGCACCCGGUAGAUCCAACCAAGUUAUAAUGAAGCACUGAGCCGCAUUUAAUAAAACAUUAGAUACAGUAAGCAUAAUUAUAUAUAGAUUUCAUUACAACGUACGACAGUACUUUAAUUAUGGACUUAGUGAGAACACCACUCUUAUCAUGAGAACACUCCCAAAAAUCAUUAUAUCUUGAAUUCUUGAUACUAUAAUCUAAUGGUCCAGAUGAAAACAAGUAAAUAACAACAAAUAAACAUAGUUACACCCAAUUAAUUAUUUUCCCAUUAAAAACCAAAUCCCUAGUUGUUUUUGUUUCAGGUGAAAAUUUUAUUGUGGUUGAAGGUAAUAAAUGCAUUUUUGAUUUAUUGGAAAUGGAUAAAUUAUACGGUUCAUAAUUUUUUAAACAAAGUUGGGGUGACGGUAUUAAGGUGCUACAUGUGAAGUUGUCAUGUUGAAAUGAUGACAAGGUUUGACAUGAUAAUCAUAAUGGUUGUGAUGAUCACGCACGUGACAAUGAUGAUCCACCGACCAUAUGAUCAUGUGAUGGUACCAUAUGAUCACGUCACCGUAGUCAAGAUUCAUCAUUAUAAGAUGGUGAGUAGGGGUGCCGCCUCGAGUGAUGACAACGACAAGAUGACGCAAGUGUUAGUCGGCAUCAAGAAACAACCCGAUGCCACGAGUGAGUGCCGCGAGUGAUGACAACAUGGCACAGUGCCGCGAGUGAUGACAACAUGGCACGGUUAGCGAGUGAGCAGGUUUCCGCGAGUGAUGGCGUCACACGGCAUAGUUUCGUGAGUGACGGCGACACGACACGAUGCCGCGAGUGAGCACGGUGCCUUAAGUGAUGGCGUCACACGGCAUGGUGCCGUGAGUGAGUGACGACGACACGACACGGUGCCGCGAGAGAUGGAGGCACGAUACGGUGUGAUGGGCUAAAAACCUAAUCAAGGGAAGCUUCCUCCGGCCACCUGCACAGCCUCAUCCACCCACGGCCGCCUUCUUCUUUCGUCCCGGCAACUUUUGCUGCCGCCCUCGCGUGGGACGUCGAUGUGCAGGGAGAAAUAGAUUGGAUUUUGACGAAUUUGUUCCUGCAUAACGUAUGCCCAUCGGAUUAGAUCUUGUAAAUUUCAACGACUAAGAUGGAUCCUUGAAGUUCUUGAAAUAUAAAUUUUUUAUCCUAACUAGAAGCCAAGCAAACUAAUUAAUUCUACUACACCAUAAUUACACCCUAAUUGAUAUAAAUAUUAAUUCCAUAAUUUGAUAAGUUUUUAGGAAUUAAUUUUGAAAUGAAUUUUUUAUAUAUGAUAUAUGAAGAAAUUUAUUUUGAAUUCUACAAAAUUGAAGUGAAAUUUUGAAUUGGAUCAUAUAAAUUCUACUAAUUAUAAUAAAAUGAUAUAUUUAUUCUCAGUUAAUAAUUAAAUGACACAAACCAACGUGUCUUUGCUUUAAUCUAAUAGAUGGAUCUUCAAAUUAUUUACUAGGUUUGAACAACUUCAUGUUUUGUUUGUUAGAUUGGUUGGUCAUAACGUUGACAUUUCCAUCUUUAGUAGUUUUCAGUUGCCUUUAUGAUAAGUAAGUUGGGUAACGUGAUAAUAAUUGUUAAUUUUAUAAGUUCUGAGUAAUAAUAAUAUUUUUUUCUCGAAAUACUAAUUAAUGAGGGUAUAUGUAGUAAACUGUAAUUUAGUUCAAUUAUGCAUGGUAUAUCAAAUAUGAUUUGGAAUUUAUCACAUAUCAAACAUACAGUCAUUCAUUUGACGAUAAAUUCUAUACAAUAAUUUAUUUUAAAAUAAAAUAAAUUUUUAAUUCAUUUGAUACCAAAUGAUAUGUAACAUAUUGAUAAAAGAAACUAGUACUUAUCUAAUAAACAAUUCUCGAAAUUAGGUACGCAAUAAGGUGGUGUGUUGUGUGAGCAUUGUAAUUGAUCUACGGUCGAACCAAUUAUUUUAGUACGAUUUAAAACUCAUGAUUUUGCUAGUUCAUCAAUCACACGUCGUUCUUAUAUUUUUGUGAACAGUGAUUAUAUGUUUUACUUCCGAGAACAGAAACUAGAGUUGUCAAUAGAGUUGGGGUCACGAAUUGGGUUAGUCGGAUUAUGAGUUCAUCGGGUUAUGGGUUAGUUAAGUUACGGGUGUUCGUCGGAUCACAUGUUUGUCGGGUUGAGGGCUUGUCAGGUUGCGGGUUCAUCGUAUUGCAGGUCCAUCGGAUCGUGGGUUCAUCAAUCUCGAGUUGGGCGGGUUGGUUCGGAUUGUCCAUAUCGGAUCACAACAAUUUCACGAAACAUAAUACAACUUUUUAUUACAUAAAUUAUAUUGAAUAAGGUUAAUCUGAUUCUUAGGAUCGCGGGUUAGUCUGGUUAUGGGUUGACGGGUUGUAGGUUGAUCGGGGUUACGAGUUGAUCGGAUUACGAGUUGAUUGGAUCACGAAUUCGGCGGGUUACGGGUUCAUCAUCGGACGGGUUACAAGUUAACAGUCGGAUUACAGGUCAGGCUGGGUCAGAAAAGCGGGUCCAUCGGGUCGGGUUAGAAUUUUGCAAGCUCCAAUAGAAACCAUUACUUAAAGGCUUGUAUUAACUAUUGAUGACCUCUACUCAUUGGUCCAAGCCACAACUACAGCCCAACUUCAACACCAUACACUAUUCACUACAUAAGCCCAACACAAUGCUCAUUAUCUGAUUUAUCAUUUAGGGUUGGGUUCUGAAAUCUAAUCUCAGUCACCGAAGUCAUAUAAAGGAUGAAAUCAGGGUCCAAGUCGUGUGAGUCUGAGCCAUAAAAGUCUUGAGCCGAUAGACAGGGCUGAAGUAAUGCGAUCUGAUUACUGAGUUACUAACAGAUACGAGGUUUUGGUUUGUGAUUUUGUCUUCAAGAGGAAAAAAAGAAGAUUAGAAGUGCGGGAAUCAAAUCUAAGAGGGUGUGGGGAGGGCAAAGAUACAAAGAAUCUCAUUCCAACGGCCACCAUUUCUUUAAGGAGAAAGCUGAUAAUGAGAUUUUUGGAGAAAGGUUCACUGUUAGCUAACCUUCUUUCAACAAGUCCCCUGCAUCUUGCACCCUAUGUACUUAUUACUUAAAGACUUCUUCUUCUACUACGUUAAACUCAGAAGUAACUGGAAAACUUGUUUCAUGAAACAUUAUUAAUCCUUAAAAUUCUCGUACAUGUUAUAUUAACCAAGUGUUCAUCGUAAUAUAUAAUAUCAAGAUUUAUGUCAUAAAGCGUAACCAUGUAAAUCUUGACUACUUAACUAUAACUGGCCAGGCAUUGUACAACAACUCUGCAAAAAUUACUAGACCAAUACAAUAACCAAAUAAUUCUGAAGUAAAUCACAUAAUUGAACGGACGAACGUGUGAAAUUUUGAAAAUUAUAGAAAUUAUAAAAAAAAAAUAUUCCCUUCAACCACACCCGUCAUUGUAAACCACAUUCUACAACAAACGAUGUUAAUUAAGCACCUUACCACAUAACUUGUGCCAAGUUCCAAAAGAAACCACCAUACCUUACUGAAAGGAGGGUAACCAUACCAGAGAAGCGAGAAGUCUCACACAAACUCAAAGGGUAUAUAGGCCAAAAUGAUCGAACUUUUGGGUUAAGCGCGAUUUUUAGAAAUAUCGAUUUGUCACCUAUAAUUAAUGAUCCGAAUGGAGCUAACAUGUACCCAAUUUGCCCGACUCACCCGAUAUAACAGUUAUAACCGUCUACUAGCUAGCACUCCUGAUUGGUCCAAGAUGGAAGCUGAAUGAUUGAAGUACUAACUUGAAUAUCCUAGCUGUCAGACAAAAGCAAAAUUUGGUGGGAGUGUGUUUCCAAGUAGGCCAAAAUAGACAGUUGCUGGCGGCUGGCGGUCCUGCAGAGCCAACAGACUCAGAAUGAUGUCAUAAAGACUAGCUCAACAGUCAAGUCCAUAAUUGUAACGAAUCUAUAGAGGAUGAUGGUACAUGAUCUUGAAACAGAAUUGACGAUGAUUACGUGUCUCUCUGACAGAUCUGUUUUCUUGGGGGGACAGACACAAUCACAAAAGCAGCACACCGAAGUAGACAAUGAACUCAAACAGGCAACACACCAUUAAUUCCGUUGAAAGAAUUAAGUUGUUUCACCAACACACGACCAAACUAGACGAUUCUUACAACACAUACCAACUUCCCAUAGACGACUGACAAUCUUCGGCAAAAGAGCAGAGGCUAGGCAACUCACAACAACAAAAGUACAUUAUUAGCAACACAAUAGCAGUUAGCUGCAUGAAAAAUCAAAGAAAGAAUUUAGUUCUAUUGGAAAAAAAUCUAUUGGCUUCGGACAUCAUAUAACUGUCAAGAUAUCAAACCAGUCCCACAAACAAAUUUCAUAAUCCCCCGGCACUCACCGUUCAACAAUAUGCAGUCCAAAGACAAUCAAUCAAAGCAAAAUGCAAACUCGACAAAGAAACAUUUCUUCGAAUCUCGACACGGACAUUUGUGGACGACUGCAACCUGUUAGGUUAGACACAUGUGAAUUAGAGGAUGAAGUUCGCUAAAGUGUCAGUUAUUGUUUUUAAACAAACCGAGAACCAGACUUUGCAAACUAUCGAGUGUUUUUACCAAACUGUGAUAUAUAGCACUCUUAGGUGCUAUUCAAGUUCCUCAUCUUAAAAUUUGUGUUUAAGGAAUGAAACCACACACUUAUACAACGGCUAUCACUUAUCAACUACAAGCCAAUAAUCGAAUUGUUGUGAGAGGCUUCAGGUACACCCCUAUCAAACUGAAGCACUCGUAAGAUUUUGAGGUAGACAGUGAUAUCAUGUCAAGAAACCAUUACUUGUAUCCAAAAUUGUUAGGAGAGGAUUCAUAUACCCUUUCAAACGGAAACUCGCAUAAUAUCCUAUGGUAUUGCUCUAAUACUAUGUAAAAAACUAUGACAUCCCAAUAUCUUGAGUCGUUGGGAUAGAAUAGGAUUCAUAUAGUUUUUAUGAAGGCGGAUUAUAUUGCAAAUAGGAAGUGAAUCAGAGUACAAUAGGAUGAAGAGAAAAGAGACAAGCAAGAAUAGUUAUUCGGUGGAGAUGUUGGUUGAUUUCAUUGUUGCCGUUGAUCCGGAUUCGUUUGAGAAUGAAUUGACCAACCAAGCUCAUCACAACCACAACCCUCAAGAGGACGUACAUUUCGAGAGACAACAAGAGAAAAAUCACACCAUCAAAGGACGGAACAAAGCAGUAAUAAUACACUAGCUAGCAGGGGAGAGAUGUAGCAUAGCACGUUAUUCUCCAGUUAGAAUAACUAAACAAUGAAAGCCGAAGAAGAGUGAACUGCGAUAAGAGUAACUUAACAAUGAAGUCACAACCAAUUUCACAGAACAUGAGCCACAAACCGAUUGUCAUGAAUAUAGGAAUGCAUGCCGCAUGUCAUGUGCCUUAUAAAUGAAAGAACUCUUCUCCAAUAACCAAACCAAACCAAAUCAUCUCAAAUUGAUCAUCAUAACCAAACUUAGGGUACAUAUGUAGUUACGUUCAUGACAAAUUGUCAACAGACUGACUGAAAAAGGGUUCCAAUUUUUCACUUCCUGUGCAGGAAAGGAAAAAAGAACCCUAAUUCAACUUCUUGCUCUUAAUUAAACUCAUAUAUAUAUAAUUAUAUAAACUUCUUUGACGCAUACAGACAGAACAUUUGAAGAGUAAAAUUAUUUAGUAGCUAGGGUUUCGUUGCUCGACCUUUUGUUUUCAAUUUCAGCAGCUAGCUAAGCUAGCCGUGCCUCCUCCUCCGAUUCUCUUCUUGCUCCAGCAUCUCAUCCAGCAACCUAUUGUCCAAGUACUCCAACUCCACCACUUGUCUCGAAUUCGAUGACGAUCCGGCAGCUGCAGACGCGGCAGCAGAAGCCGGGCCCCUCCCCAUGGGGUACUCAUGUGGGAAGUUGAGGACAGCAAUGUGUCCCCUCAUCGCAUACGCAGCACGGUCGUAUGCUCUUGCUGCUUCCUCCGCACUGUCGAAUGUCCCCAGCCAUAUCCUCUGCCCGUUCCUCGUCGAGUCUCGUAUCUCCGCAGCGAAUUUCCCCCAAGGGCGGCGCCGGACUCCUCUGUACUUCACCUCUCCUCCUCCUCCUCCUCCUCCUCCGCCUUCUUCUUCACCUGUUGCUUGAUUGUCCAUAGUGGGGUAAGUUUUGGAAGAAAUAGUGCAUGGCGAAUAUAUGUGGAGGAAGAGGAAUAUAUAUAUACAUGUGGAAAAAAUAUAAAAAUUUCGGGAAAAGGGAGACACAUUAACUUUGAGUGGGCUUGGGCUGCAAUUGGAGAGUCAAAGUGGGGAUUUUUGCCACGUGGAGAAUCGUGUGGGUUGAACAAGGUUCUGGUUAGUUUGAGUCCAUUGUAUCUAGAUGGUCAAGCUGAUGGCUUUGAUCUCUGAAGAGGGGUCCUGCAUGCCCUUGAUAGACCUUUUCUCUACUCUGUUUUUUUUCUCUCUUUUAAGAAAAAGUAGGGGAAAAGGAAAUCUGUGGGUGUUAUUAUUGUUUAUUUUUUUACUAACUGUUUACAUGCCCACUUGCUAAGCUACCUAUAUUAUAUUAUAGUGUGUCAUUAAUGAGCUCACCAUACAGUCUUUUGAUAUCAUCACUUUCUCCCCCAUUCUUACUUCUAUACUAUCAUUCAAUUGGUUACUAUAGUGGGCAACAAAUCCAGUUUAGUUGGAAUUGUUUUGAUGAUUUUAUAAUUUGGCUAAUAGCAUUUGAAGUUUUGAUCUUCUACUUAUGUGUUUAGUCUAGGUAACAAUCAUAAAUUUAGUUUAAAAAUUAAAUUAUACGACAAAAAAUUGUCGGUGGCACGUAUGUUGUUCUUUUCAACUCAAAGCAGUACCAUGGAUUAAUUUUUCAUUUUAAAUUAGUAUUAGGUUUAAUUCCUCAAUUAUUUACUUGAUACAUAUACAAAAGUUUUGAUUUAAACCCGACUCAAUGUAUGUUUUCAUCCUAAUUCAGCCAUUGAAUCACGCCUCAAAAUGUAUCAUAUUAGUAGAUGUUUCAUGUUACCUUGUAUUAUUUGAAUCUCUCAUGUACUUUCUCAUCUCAUGUAGGAUUUGUCUAGUAUGUUAUAGAGUGUAUUAAUGAAUAUUAUAUGUUGUAUGUUUGGUGUAUGGAAAUUUGACACAUAAUUAAAACAUCUUGGUAACUAAGUUCAGACUAAAGAUUUGUUAAUUUCCUUGGUUCACUGGUCCAGAAUAUGCAUUGCAUGUGAAGUAGAAUCCAUCUAAGUAAUUAAUAGUUUGAAUUAUUGGUGGCUUUUAGUAGAAACCGUAGGGUUAGUAAUCCUACUGCAGCGUUGCUGAUGUCAUCUUGGCUUAUAUCAUCAUGACAUCAUCUUCAUCACACACCACCCAACUUAUUGUUCUUUGCAUAUCCGUACUUUCACUUUGCAUUCAUGUUUUGGAAUUUCCAAAUCUUGUGAUAAAGAUAGGAAAUAUGACUUCCUUUUUCCUGUUGGUAUAUAACAGAGAUCUUUACAUGUUGCAUGUCGAUCGGAACUUAGAAUUCCUCUGUUUUUAUUUUGUUUUUAAAAGAAAGAGUGGUUAUCAAAUAAAGGGAAAUAUGCCUUUGCAGGUAGGGCAACGUUAACUCAAUUUGUACUCUCAACCAUUCUUGCUUAUGCCAUACAAACUUCAGUCCUCUCAUCCACUACUUGUUAUGAGAUUGACAUGAAAAAUUGAAAUUUUGUAUCGGGAACCAUGGCGAAGGAGUGAAAGACACACCUACCGUCUUGGGAGGCUAUCUACGCACCUAAGUCGGAAGGGGGAUUAGGUCUCCAGUCGGUGCAUCUACUGAAUCAGGCAUAUACAAUGAGACUACAGUAAAACUUCUAUAAAUUAGUAUAGUUGGGACCAUAAAAAUUAUUAAUUUAUUUUGUAGUUAUUUUGUGAUGUAUAUGGUUAAUAUAAACCAGUGGAGAUUUCGGUAUAUAUGUGUAUACGGUACAUUCAAUACUAAAAACAUUCAUUUUAAGAAUUUAAAACCGAAACAAUAAAUCCUAAACACCUCAUAAACACUAAAUUUCAACCCUUAAACAUUAGAUCAUAAAACUAGAUUCUUAAUCGUAUUCCAAACUCUGUCUUUUAAACAUAAAACUAAAUUAACCAAUCAUAAAGCCUUUAAUUGGAUUUUAAAAACUUACCACUAUGUCCUAAACCCUAAACACUAAACAAGAACCUCAAAACUCUUAAUUUUAAACAUAAUAUAUAGCAUAGAUGUGAUAGACUGUACCGUGUACACAUAUAUACCAGAGUCUUUUCCACCACUUUAUAACCUAUUCAUAAUUUUAUUUUAGUAAGUAUACUACUAACACAUAUCUAAGCUAAUCACUCUUUAAUUUACAGUAAAACUUCUAUAAAUUAAUAUACUUUUGAUAAAAUAAAUUUUAAGGUUCAUUGUAUUAUCUUAAUCGUUCAAAUUCAUACACAAUUACUUUGGUACCCUGCAUUCUUGUUGAUGGUCUAAAUUCAUUUUUUAAGUUACUUGCACCUCUAUAUUCAUCGAUCAUACCUUUAAUAUAAUCCAUCAAAUAUAUGGUCAUCCAAUUACUGUAAAUACUACAGAAAAUUUGUAAAAAUCAUAUUCAAUAAUGGCUUCUCAUUUGAAAGGUUUCCAAAAGUCUAUCAUGACCAAUCAAAUAUGUAAAUAGUUAUGUGAGUUCAAUUUAGAAAGGUAUCUGAAAAUGAUGAAUGUAUCACGACACAAUGUGUAGAAGAAUGGUGGCUGACAUUUUGGGAGUUCGAUUGAGGAUGAAAGAGAUGAUGAUUCAACACCUUUGGAACCAGUCAUGCGAAAGGAAGUGCUUAAAGCCGCAUCAACUCUUAAAAACUACUUGUUGCAAUUAGAGAAGACAACGCCAAAGAUUUUGAGUGUAAUGAAGAAAGUUCACGAUGAACUUGUACUAAACUUGAACUACAAGAAGAAACAAAUAACUAUACAUCCAUAUUUAUCUAGAUUAACCUAGCUAUAGAAAUUUCUUGAUGAAUGGUACUUUUUUAAUUAUUAAUUUACAGAAUUGAAAAUACAUGUAUUUAUAGAGGUUCUUAUUAUUUUAUUAAAUUUGCUCAUUUUUUACCCUGGCCCAAGUCGAGACCGGAAAAAUUAUUAAUUUAUAUUAGAUUAUUAAUUUUGUAGAGUAUUAAUUUAUAGAGGUUUUAAUGUACCGUUUUUUUCAUCUCAAAACCAAACGACUUGUGGUGCAGGUUCUGUGGACGAAAUAUAUUAAGGACUAUGUGAAUGAAUUCCGGAAAAGACACACUAGUUCGCGUUUAACCAUCUGGCAUAGUAUGUUGGUAGUUAUGCCACAUAUGGUGGAGGGUUACGACCAUGCUGGUUUAUGGGACGGUCGCAACAUCCGAUUUUGGUCGCAACAUUGGCUGGAUAAUGGGGCCAUUGUAGAAGGCUAUGCUCUUGUCGGUGUUGGUCAACCUAAACCAGAUAUGGCAGUUGCUAACAUUGUCACUCCUACAGGUAUAUGGGAUUUCGACCUCCUCUCUUAUUGUCAAAACAAAACAAAAAAUUCGGAGCUGGGAUGAGGAGAGGACAUUUGGGCGUGGGGUACAUCAAGAGAAGCAUGAGCGCUUCCAUAUUCGGCGAGCCUAUGAUCUUCUUCACUGACCACUGAAGCGGACUAGUGAAUUCAACUAGUGGAUUGUUUGGCGCUGGUAGGGUCAACAAUGAAUCCGACACUUUCUCUAGUGCCAAUGCUCGACUGCUGACUAACAUAGAGAGGAGGCGGCGUAUGACCUUUCAAUCUAAAAACCAAGUGAACCAAGAUCUACCAAUGUUUCCAUAGAUCACACUACAGUAGAAGGCGUAGAGCACUAGGUGUAACAUCCCGGUCUUUUCCGACAAGCCAUUAUCCGUUUAGGGACUAGGCCCUUACGGAUAUUAUGAGUGCAUACCAAUGACUUCCAAGAGGUCGCCCAUUUAUAUAGUGCUCCCUGUGAAACCCGCCCCUAGACAUCCCGAUUGAACCAUGUGGUUCGACCCAUGUAUAUACUCGCUGGUUUACUCAUCACACAAUCAUACAUAAACAUACACAAUAAAGAUUGAAUCUUGAAACAUCAUAACAUGGUAAACGACGACGUAUGAAAACUAAACAACUAAGGCUCGAAAUAAAAUACUAAACAUCCAAAUAAAAAUCAUCCCAAACAGAGGAAAUCAACAUCCAAAGGUAAGCAAUUAAAACAACUUAAAACAUCUGAAAUCCGAAUACAUGAAAGCAUCUUAAAACAUGAAAAGGGAUAAGUGAGGUUCUCCAAGGUACCUCUCUCUAUGACUCCUGAAGCCACUCGGUUGAGGUGUCGUUGCUGCUUGUAUAAAUCUCUGAGGCGACAUUGCUCAUGAAGUUUCAUAGCCGUUCAUACAAGAAGAAAAGAUGGGGUCAGUGAUAAGAACUGAGUGACUAAACCUAACUUACGUAGAACAAAACUAGCAUCUAGUAAUGUGACCCUCUGAUCCUGUAGGCAUCAACCUAGGAUCAGCCACCCCUAGCUGUGAGAGGACGACCUCAUGGUGGAUAAGACCAUGAAACCACCCUGAAUACCGUGUGAGUAGUAUAUGUAGGCAUACUCAACACAUCCUGCUUGAGCCUGAACUCUAACCUGGGGGAUUGCGCAAUCCAUGGGUGGGUAAUCGACGCAUAAUAGGAAGCUAUCUAGCUAACCCUAAUCAUGUCCUAACAUGAAAUGUGAAUCACACGCCACAGUUCAAUCACCAAGAGCUUAUACUCGUAAUACUACAACUGUCUGUACAGUAGAUCACACGCUAUUGUAUAGUCCUGAGAGCUCUGCUCUGAAUCACAAUACUUGUAUAGUAGAUCAAACGCUACUGUACAGUCCUAAGAGUCAUGCUCUGUAAAACAACACAUGUACAGUAGAUCACACGCUACUAUAAUCUUGAGAACUCAAUCAUUGGAUUCCUCACAACCUAUUACAGUUCUACGCUUAAAGCAUAACACCUAACCCUACACGUCUUAUAAGCUCUCCUAGUAGAGUUUGAUCUGAAGAUGCCUUCCUAGAGCUCAAGUCUCUCGUUCCAUCUAACCUGAAGAGAUCAAUCAUAUGAUUGAAAUCCUAAAACCCUAAAUCCUAAACUAUCCGGAUUUAUCCUAUGCAGGUUUCCAAUCAAAGGAUUGAGAAAGGAGGAAGGAGAUAGAUUACCUUCCGAAGCUUCCUCCCCGAUCUCAAAAACUCUGCUACCAGGCUAGGACCAAUCAACUCUGCCUUCUCUACCUCCUAAAAGUAAUCAUCGUUCAUCAAAGAGAUUUCCAAGUUUUAGGUCUUUGUAAAUUCUGAGUUGCAAGUCAUGUACUAGGUUUUAUAAUAAGUCCAUCAUACUCGUGAUGUACUUAUUGCCACCCCCGUGACUGCCUGACAACCACACCCAUGACUUUCUGACAACUACGUCCGUGACCUACUAAUGAUCACCCCCGCGACACACUGCUGAUCACGGUCGUGGUACAUAUGAUAACCACGCCUGUGAUUGUCACGCCCGUGACGAUCCAUUCAUCAGCCGAUUUCCAGAACUUCGAGAAUUGACAAAUAGACCCAGAAUUGACAAUCAAACUGAAAUUGGGGUGUCACAUUCCCGCCCGAGCAUGUUUAACUUUGAAGUUCUUACAAGAACUCCUCCAUUUCACCCUAAAACACGUCUUGUGAGUUAAUGUCAAAUUGUUUCGUAUAGCUCAUGAACCUCUCUAUGUGUUUUGCCAAUGUGAUAUUUGUUUACACCAUAUUUCCACCACUCAUCAGUUAGCAGUUGUUUCACAAAAUUGCUAAUUAUUACUUAUUAUGAUCUUCUAUGUAUUAAGAUUGGAGUAGUUGAUACGACGUUCAUCUUGCGAGAGCAUAUUAGAGAAAGAAAGGAACGACACAUUAAUUGUGUUAAAUGAUUUUGUUGUAGCAUAUCCUAUAUUUUCCUUCAUAUUUAUUCUUCCUAAGAAUCUCCUUAAUCUCAUCCCUUAUAUUCCUUGUAUAUAAUCAUGUACACUAUACAAUACAAACAAUUUAAUCUAUACAAUUCUAUAAAUGGGUUCGUUCAUGUGCUUGGAUUUGAUAUUAAACUUUUUUGGUUGAAAGAGCGGACAAACAUCUUAAUUAUUAUUAAUAGAAGUGAUAAAAUGAGGGAUAGUAACUCCAAUCAUGUCGGACUUGAUACAAUCGAUAAUAUUACAAGAAAAAAAAACAAUGUGGUGUACUCCAAAAGAAAGAGAGUGACCCUGAUGCUCAAGGGGAUCCGCUACUCGAUUGCCUUCACGGUAAGUAUGGGUGAUGAACACAGUCCAACCAGAACAUAUCACAGCACGUUAACACAAGCAUGGUUGUUGAUUUUCAUUAGAGUUGGGAUGUUGGAGCAGGGAAACCACAACUUCUGGAUCAGCAUGUAGUUUAAUCUUUCAAUAACCCAUAUCCCAUGAAAUCUUGAGGCCAUGAAGGGACGGUUGCAGCCUGCACGGGUGAUAGAGCAAAUUACAAAAAUUGCAGCAAAGGCCCUCUGACAAAUACCUGUCGUAUUCUUAAUAAUUCGGCCAUCUUCUGCCGCCCCAAACGAUUGAAUGACAAAACCAUCAGUAUUAAGAAUAGCCUCCACGUCGGAUCGAACCAUCCAUCCGACUAAAGUUUCUACUUGCCGAUGUAUGUUUUUGAAAAAUACUGUCUCUCCCAUUCUCAUUGUCUCCCAUACCUCAUGAUCCAAUAAAGAGUUCAUAGGCGAAACUAAUCCCACGAUAAAACAAUAUUACUAAAAGUUACCUCAUUCCGAUUUGGAAGGCAACAUAUUGCGCGGAAUUCAAAUUGAUAUUGGGAGUCACCCACUCCUGUCAAAAUCAUUAAACAAUAAUAUGUUAAAACUUUAGCUUAUAAGGGCCCAAAAUGGGCACUAAUACUAAUUAGUAAUAUAAAUGGCAAACUAUUUUCUACACAACAAAUUUGGCCAACCAUUCACCGGGACGAAAAUAUAAAUGGCCAACUCAAAAAGCAUCUUAGUAGACCUGCCACAAAAGCAAAAUAAUACUACUUAGGCAAGUAUUGGUUCCAACUUCCACCAACUGACGAAGGAUGUUCAUACAUUUGUAUGAUUGGCAUUAAUCGUGAAUUUUCUAAUCUGAAUGUAAUUAAUAGACAAAGAUCUUACCCACUAAAUUCUUAUUAUAAUAAUACUUUAAUGUCUUUAUCAAAAAAGUAAUUGGUGUUUAGAAAUGUAAUGAUUCUAUCCUUUAGUCCUAUCACCUAUGGAAGACAAAGUAACGUUCGAGAGAAUUGGCCAUCUUAUGUGACAGCUUACGAAAUUUAGUGAACAUAUAUGUUUGUACGGGACUACAUAGUUGACAUAAUUGAUCGUUGGAUUGUCGGAAUUUAGAUCUUAAGGAUCUGAUUUAGUCUAUAUAUACUUAUUAAAAUGCUACUUAUUAUUCAUUUUAGAAAAGGCCACUAUACUGAAUUGUUAGUUGAUGAGACAAUAAUUUCAAUUUUUUAGACUUGCAUUUCUUGCUUCUCGUUUUUAUUGGAAUCGCCGGUGCCUUCUCAAUAAAUAUCCUUGUCCUUGGCUGGCACGGAACAACUUCAUCAGCUUCAAUUUUCGCCAAAGGUUCCACACAAAAAAUGAAACAUAGGGCUCGUUUGGUAUGUGAUAUUUAGAAUAACUAGCUAUUCGAGAUAUCAUGAUAUUGGGUGAGAUUGAUAUUGAAUUCAAAAAGUAUGAAUAUUCUUGUUUGGUGUAAGAUAUUGAGUGGUGGGGUUUAAGAAUGAUUAGAUAUGGUGUGGGUCCUGAUUUGUAAUAAUGAGGACAGAGAAAAUUACUAUUGUAGCACUCACUUGCUUGUAACUAUUAAAUUGCCUUGGAAUAUUGGGGUGAUCCCAUAUAGAUAAAUAUUAAAUAUCACCGAAUAGCUAGCUAUUCAAACUCCGAAAUACGAAGAUAUCUCGAAUAGCUAGCUAUUGGGUGAUAUUGAAUAUCAAUAUCACCCAAUAUCACUCAUACCAAACAUGCUCAUGGAUCAUUUUCAACAUAACAAAGAGUUUAGGUUAGGGUUUUUUCUCCAUAUCAAUUAGUGAUUUCUUUAACAUCGGCGAUGGAACUGACUCGACGCUGGCGAAGAGCGACGAGGAGUAGAUGGCGUAGACGCAGCUAGUUGAGGUGCCUCCACCAUGGGAGUUGAAGUCACCCAAGAAGGACCAAAACAACACCUCAACUGCAUAAACUGAUUGUCAACUCUGUUUGAGAACCCGACCAACCUCAGGCAGCUCAUGGGGUCUCACCGAUAGAGUAUUUUAGUCUUAGUUUCUUUUUCCGGUCUUGUCAUGGUACGUUUCUUAUGUUUGCUUUUGUUAGUUUCUGGUCGCAGUUCCUUCAUGUCUUUGUUUUUUUAAUGGUGUUUCAUUUGAUUUCGUAUAGUCCUUUCAAUUUUUGUCUCCCAUUAUGAAGUUGUCUUAUUGGAGAGCAAGGAUAUGAAGAUCACCUUUCUUGUAAGGGUCCGCAAUUUAUAUAUCCUUUUGCGGAGUUUGCACCUUCUAUUAAGCACAUUUACGCUAUUUGGCCAAGGCCUCAUGUCACCGAAUUUACCAAUGAGUGUUUUAUUUCAAAAACAAAUGAAUUACAUAGUAAUGAUCCAUAAAAAAACAUUAAUAUUAUUGGGUGAGAAGAUCAUUUUAAUUGUCAUAAACCAUACUUUUACAAAAAAAAAUAUUUUGAAAAGUAAGUUUAGUGAAAAAGAGUAUAUACAAUUAGGUCAUUUGGUUUAUUUAGAUUGGGUUGGGCAGGUCAUUAGUUAGUCGAUUGCACUUUCACCAAAUUAUAAAUUCAUGAGUUACGGAUUGAGUUGAUUAAAAAUUAUUUUUUUUUAAUCAAUCAGGUCAUAAAUCAAACUGGGCUGAAAUAAGCGGGCUGGAGGGUUUUACGAGCAUUUUCCAGCUUUAGGUACAACUCAACUCCAGUUGUGCAAUUUGGUAUUUAACAUUUAAAACCUAGUAAUGGUGAUAGAAGAAGUACGUGGGGUAGAAAUGAAUGGCAGACAACCCUUAUGAUUCUGCCACUAUAAAAGGGAGUGUGUAUUGGGAGAGCAGCCACAGACCAGCAUUUAUAUAUAUAGCAAAGAAUCCAUAAACACCCCCCCAAAAAAAGAAGAAGCAAAUAGCUAGCUAGAUACAACCAUUGUACAUAAUUAGUUCAAUGGAUUUGCUAACAGACAUAAACCCCACACACAAUCAUUCGUCCCUCUUGUCUCUUCUGUUCACACAAUUAGAUAGAAAUAAUCUAAUUAACGAUCUCCUCGUACAAAACACUUUCCCCCAUGCUAAUACCAAACGUGCUUCAAAAAACAACAGAAUUCCAAUUUCCUUUUGGCUUUCUCAACCGAGUAUGUUGUUAAUGAGGGGCGGGAAACACCAGCAGUCACAAAGGGAAACCACUGCAGCACCAAAAUCAAGGAGCGAAAAGCCCUCGCAACAAGGUCCAAACGAAACGCACCCACCAAAGGCACACAAAACAAAACCAAAACAGAAUACAUCGAUUCGCUAGCAUAAAACCCCUUCGUUGCAAGUUGCCGAAGGUCGCAAUCUUUCCAUAAAAAAUCUUCCUACAAAAGCUUUGGAUUUUGGAAGGAAAAUCACCUACCCAUAUAGAGCCAUGGGGAAUUUUCCCCGGGGAAAUUCUCUAAGGUGGCUCUCUGCCUGAACGAUCUAACCGUAAAUCGAAGCUGGACCCGCCGUGAUAGUAUUUGGAGGAAUGUUUGUCAACUUUUGUAAGAGUUGGUUCCACUAUGCAAGAGCCCCACCUCGCAAAGAGGUCAUAAGAGGAAUCGUCCUCCUACCUAUCAGAGAACAAACAUAAAUCAGAAAUAUUCUUAUCCAAGGAUUGCCCUCACACAACCUCACACCCGGGAUCCAAUAACCAAACGGCAAACUUGGCUCUCCUCGGCGUCACCGAACAGAAGGGCAUUCGCAUAGAAGAUAUGGUUGACCUUCCCAUCAAGAGAACCACUAUUCAUGAGAGAGGAAGUACCCAUUUCAAUGCGCACCUCGGUCAGCAAUGAACCCUCGUCGGUGCAAAGAAAGCCACCACAGAGUUCACCUGAUCCAGGAGAACCCAAAAUCUGUCAUCACUGAGGAUCUUCCUGCGUCCUUAAUCCAGCCGUCGAGGAAAAUCUUGAUGCCAUUGAAUUUCCUUCUUCCUAGACUCACAAUCCUUUGCACUUCGGCCUCGGAGGAGCAUUCCAAGACCCAAAGGUCAUCGCUAAUGGACGUGAUGGAAGAAUCCAAAGCAACUUCCCAGUUUUGUUUCGCCCAUCUACGGUAAACUUCCCAGUUUAUGAUGCCGCCCAUCGCAAACACUGACGGAGAAACCGAAUUCGUUCCUCAAACCGGAAUACCAAAGGGCGCCACCCCUCGGAAGGCUGCUCACCAGGAAUCAGAACGAAAAAUACCUUACCAUUUGGGCAUUUUUCAUAAAUUUUUAUCACCAACUCCCCUUGAGAGUGAAAACUGAUAGGGGAAAGAGUUCUUUCACUGCGAAUUUUGGUAACUUUCAAUCCGUGCAUAUGACUUAUCGAAAAUGUACAAACCAUAACUUUUAUGAGAAUUUCUAUUUGAGAGGACAUAUUAGUAAAUAAUAUAAAUAUAAAUUAAAAUACUGUCUCAACUAUUCGAAUUAUUGAAACAAAAUAAUUAUUGAUCAAAUGCUUCGUUCAAUUUGGUAAUAAUAUUUUUCUAGAUAUAUGCAUCAUUAGAAAAUUAUUUUAUAGUUACUUAAUUAAUUAGGGAUUUACAACGUCAAUUAUUAUUAAAAUUAUUUUGAGAACUAACAUAUACUGUAAUUGCUUUGGUUGGGGUUUCUUUUCUUUGGUAGCCUGGGUCAUGUCUAUAUAUAUUGNNNNNNNNNNNNNNNNNNNNNNNNNNNNNNNNNNNNNNNNNNNNNNNNNNNUCGAUUAAUAAAAAAAACAUAUACUGUAAUUGUAAUUUAUUUAUUUAAAAAGAAAUAAUAGCUUUGAUUUAGAUCGAGUUAGAUCCUGGAAAUCAAACUUACAAUAUUGGCAGUCAUACUUUGUUUAGCUAGAGCUCAUGGUGUUGAAGGAGGAAUAAAUUCUAACAAAAUUACAGUAAUGGUCAUGGCAUGCAUUGCAGAAAAUUUGAACGAUGGUCCGUCCAUUUGAAUUGAACAAGACCAGUCCUGAGCAUUUGGAUAAAAUAGAAUGCCGUUUAUGUGAAUUCAUCGUUAAGCAUACCAUGGAUGGAAGAAUGUGGAGCCUACACAAAACAAAAGCUAGUAUAUGGAAACAAGUAUAUGACACAAAAAUUAGUAUAACAUUACAAAAAAAAGAAGAGCAACUCUAGGGCACCCUUAUUUUGUACUCGUUUUAUAUUCUACGCACUUAUAUAUUUGUUUGUAUACUCAUAUGUCGUAAGCAUAUGUACCACUUAUGUACCUACCGUUUUUAAUCCUCUAUACACAAAUCAAUGAAAAUAUUUUGUAACUCAAUUAAAAUAUUCUAAAAAAAAGUACUAAAGAAAAAUAGCCCCUUUCCAGCAACCUUAUUCAAACGACUUGGAAGUCGACCACAGAAGUUGAUUUCUAACUUUGAUUUUGACUUUUUCCUUAGCUUGAUAAAAUAACAAAUUGAAGAUAUAUUUAACAUACUUGGUAUGAUAAAAUUUCACAUAUAAUAUGAAAUUUCAGAAAAUUACACUUAAAUAAAGUUUGACAUAACAUUGCCACUUCCUCCUUUUAUUUGCCGUCAGCAAAUAAGUUGGAUAUUUAUCGUGGAUCCGGACUGCCAACCCAGUCCAUUUAUCAUGCUUGAAGCCUUUAACUUGACAAAAAGGCCAGCCCAGUACUGCUACAUUUGAUCUUAUCAAUUAAAAUUCUUCUGGGCCGAGCCCAAUAUUUGAAGAGGCUUAAUGGUGUUUCAGUUGUUUACAGACUCCGGAGUUAUGGUUGCCGUCGACGAGAUUUGUGGGUAUAUGUCACAUUUUCCUGACAUAGUGAGUGAUUCAUGACUCUGCGUAUGAUACUGAUGGAAUCUCAUGUUGAAGGCUAUCGAGGUUUGGAUUAGAAGGGCAAUUUUAUAAUUUCGAGUCAUUCACACAUCCCUUCAGCCCCUGAAGACGCCAAUGAAUCAAAGAAUGUAUAUAUAUUUUGCGGUCUCAAUAUAUAUAUAGUCCAUAUUCAUAUGAUCAUUUAUCUAUAGUAUCGGAAAUUUGUGAUGCAUUUAGAAAACUUGGACUUCCCCUUAAAAGAUUCUUACCCAUGCAUGUGAUCGUAAGUAUGGUGGUAGGUUGAGGUGGCUGCAUGCAUCAGGUUGAAUCUGGCUGAGCAAUAUAGAUCGUCAGAUUAAGACCGUCUGUAAAAAAUUUAAAAGGUGAUGACCCACAAUUAAGACGUUGCCCAUUUGAUCUUUAGGCGGUCAACAAUACAAUUGUUGAUUUAAAUGCGAACGUUUGGUAGACUUUUCUCUAGGCCCAUCAAAACAAAAACAUGAAAUUAAUUAUAACUAUAAUAUAGAAAAAAAGAACCCUAAAAGAAUAUUGCUACUGGGUUUUGUAUUUCGACCCAAUUUACUAUAUUUGACUAACAUAGUAAACGGUGUGGCCAGAUUCUUUUGAAAACCAAAAGAAAGAAAUAGUUUUUGUCAACCUUUUGACUGACUACAUUUGACUGGUUUUGUUAAAAUUAAUUGCUGACAGUGAGAAGCUGUUAUUGGGCAAAAACAAAAUUGACAAUCCAGGACGGUUUGCUAGCUUCUUCUUUUCUCUCCAUGAUCAGUUUCAUUGCAAGGAAGUGGACUGAGCCACGUGCCGUCACAUGGAGCGCUAAUUUUAAUUUCAUUUUCUAGUGUUAUGUUUUCUGUAACCUCACGUGAGUCGAAGAACAAUUCAUAUCGUAACGUGAGCAACAGUAUGACAUCAUGUUUAAUUGUAUAGAAGUUCAAGAAAAACGAAACAGUAACAAAAUUAGAAGCAGCAAAUUCUUGCCUGGGGGGGGGGGGGGGGGGGGGGGUCGAAUGGGUGGGGUUGAUGAUCGGUGUGAUCCUAUUGGUUCUUCAGUUUUCAACGAACUCCCAUCUGACGGCGUUAACCAACCAUCAACUCUCUGAUUAUUAUACUGUUUAUUCAUCCCGAGAAGUAUUAUAUAGUUGAAGCACCAUACUGCUUAGUAAAGGAAAACAUGGCAACACAGUACAAAUUAACUUCAUCAUCACCCACCAAGUAAUCAACUGGUUAUUUAUGUCAUCUGUGAUCACUUUGUUUUUAAUGAAUUUCAAUGGAUCUAAGGCCUUGUUUAUAUAUUGGAUAUAAGUACAUACACAUGCUAGCUCUUCCAUUUCCAGGCAAGUUUGGUCAGUUUCCAACUGUUAAUCCCUCCAUCAUGUGACACAUGUACUACUUCAACUUUUAUCUCAUUAUUAUUAUUAUUAUUAAUCUAGCUAUAAUCUAAAAUCUUGACUGCUUAUUACAGUGGCAGCCUCUCAUGCUAACAUCCCUGUAAAGUGCUUAUUGGAACAAUAUCGAGCAUAUAGCCAAUUAACCGACCCCAAGAGUCUUGCUUAA